GUGUGCUGAGCUACCCCCAGAGAUCAAGAGGCACAUUCAUCCAGAACACCCUCUUCGUCUACUGCCAAAUCAUGAUACGAUGUGUGAUUUUUGCAACGAAACUUGCUAUGAGAGUUUUGUUUACUGCUGUUUUGUGUGCGAAUUCAACCUCCAUAUCAAAUGUGCUUUUCCACCGUGCGUUUAUGCAGCUGAUCAGGAUCAAAGGCAUCAAUUUAGACGCCUACUGAAUCCACUUCAUUCAAAUCAAUCUCCUUCACUUGCAAUGCAUGUGGCACAGAUGGAGAUGACUCCCCAUUCAUGUGCACCAUGUGCCAACUCGUGGUCCACGAAGAAUGCAUUUCAUUGCCAGGCACCCUUAAAACAGCACUGCACCAUCAUCCCCGAAUCAUCCACACAUACCAACUUCAACAAUGCAUCGAAUCUAUAAACAAGUACUGUGGAAUUUGCCGUCGGGAAGUUGACACAGAAUACGGAGUUUACUAUUGCCCAGACUGUGACUUUGUUGCACACGUGAAUUGUAGCAGAGAAUAUGGCGAUUCUGCAACAGAGACUGGAGGAGAAAACGAAGAAGAGCAAAGUGUGGCUGUUGAUGAUCAAUUCAUGGAACCUAGCUUUCGCGUUGUCCGUGAGAUCAAGUAUGGAGAGGAGAGAAUAAUUGAAGAGAUCAAACAUUUCAGUCAUCAACAUAACCUAAUCCUUACUGACAAGGUUGAUGAUGAUCUAAAGUGUGAAGGGUGCAUGUUACCAAUCUCAACUCCAUUUUACAGUUGUGCCAAUUGUAAUUUCUUUCUUGACAAAACCUGUAGCAUAGAAUUACCCAGGCAAAAAAAGUGGCAAUAUCACGCAAACCAACUGAUUCUUUCAUGGAACCGAUCGGAACGUGGUAUGUUCUACUGUCAUUUGUGUGCUCAAUAUUGUAGUGGGCUCAUGUACAGAUGUGAUGUAUGUGUACUCCAGAUUGCUGUCCGAUGCUUCAAAUCAAUAUUGAAAGAUUCUUUUAAACAUGGAGGUCACGAGCAUCCCCUUUAUCUUCCAGCGGACAGAAAGAAUAUUCUCCGUUGCCGUAUUGGGGGUGAGGGGUUUCCCCCUUUGCUUGCAUCGGACGGAGAGAAUAUUCCGCAUUGCAGUGGCUGUUGUGUCAGUGAAGAAUCAAAGGUAUUUUUGAAAUGUGCGGUUUGCGAUUUCAAGCUGGGUAUGAAAUGUGCUACACUGCCAUACAAAGCAAGACACGAGUAUGAUGACCAUCCUCUCUUCCUCACCUACAUUAAUGAAAAUGACUACCAGCCUUCCUGCAUAAUUUGUGAAAAAGAUAGAGACCCGAAGCUCUGGUUCUACCGUUGUGAGGAAUGCGACUUCGAUGCUCAUCCAGAAUGUGCUCUCGGGAAAUACCCAUACGUCAAGCAGGGGGGUUUAACAUAUCCUAAACACCCUCACCCUCUUGCUUUGGUCGACAAGACAGAGGAUUAUCGUCCACAGGCAUGCGAUAUUUGUGGUGACCUUGCGAUGACUUGGCCUUGAAUGUACUGAUCCUAACUGCAUUUUAUCGUCCACAGGAAAGAUGGCAAUGCUUUGACUCAUUAUGUAAUUGGAUUGCAGUUGUUGGCUUUUUUCUUAUUUUUGGGUUAUGAUUGUUGGGGUGAAUGGUUAGCUUCAUACUUAUUAUCUCUGUUUCUAUUUUCGCUUAUCAGAUCACUUUUUUUUCUUUUUUUUUCUGAACAAUAAAAGAUGCUAUUUCAUUAAAACUGUCAAUGUAGUUUGUUGUUUCUUUGUGCCUUCGUAAGUGACGAAGAUGUCUGACCUUCCACCAUUUUUUUAGCUUAGCAGGAAGCUCUCCAUAAAUUCUGCUUUUACAUUUUUGUUAUAGAUUUUAUUGUAAAUGCAAAAAUAUUUCAUAAAAAUAACACUUAUCUAAUGAUAUCAAUUAUUUUCAUUCAAAUAUUUAAUUUUUAUUUCCUUAACACAAUCUAAUAAUAAAUAAAUGUAUUUAAAUAAUAUUUAAAACGAAGAUCUCAAGGGCAUUCCAUAGCUUUGUCCUUUAAUAAGAUAUCUCAUGAAAAAAUAAGUUAAUUUAUGUUUUUGGUAUUUUUCUUCUUAAGAAGAAUAAAAAUAAAAAUAAGAAUAAGAAUAAGCCUAUGGUUAUCUAAUUUCAAAAUCACGAAGGGAUUUAGAGGCUCAAAUCCUAAAAAAAAAAAAAAAACUAAAUAGAAAAAAAAUUAUAAAUCAACUAAUAAAAUAUUAAGUCUAGAUAUUUUUUUUGGUUUUAUUUGAAAGUCUUGUUGAUUUUAAAUGAUUACAAAAUUCUAAUUUUAUAGAAAAUAAAGCUUUUAAAAUUUUCUAAUAAAAUUUGAGUUGGAUUAAGAUAAAAAAAAAUAAAAUUAUGCCCUUUACAAGAUUGCUUAUAUUUUAAAAAAUAUCAUAUAUUAAUCGUCUCGAAUUCAAAUUGUUGUUGCUUCAAUUUCGCAAGUAUCAAAUUAAAAAUCUCAAACCUUUUGCACGUGCAGGCAACAUUCCCAGCCUUCUCGGUAUUAAGAGUUCUUAUGGCAGCUUAUGACAGCUUUAUUGUCAUAAUACAACUUCGUUGGCAUAUUCAUCGGCAUUCACAGUUCUUCAAGAAUUCUCUUCAGCCAUAACAUUUCACAAACUCCAUUUUCAUAACCUUAUAUUCUACUUGAGCACUGCUUCUUCCAACCAUAUUUUGUUUCUUACUUUGCCAUGUAACCAUAGAUUUAAGUACAAUAUUCUAAUGUGGAUCUUCUAUCAAUAACUAAACCUGCCCAUUCUACAUCAGCUUCAAGAUGUUUUGCAUGGGGUGAAUGCAAACCCAGCAUUUGUAUUCCAAACAAAAAGCAAUAACAUGAUAAUUCAAUUAAGGUUAGGAAUUUUUUUUUUAAUAUAAUUAAUAAAAAUUUCAGCAGAGUUUUCUUUAUAUUUUUAGAUAUCAAGAUAUUAACUUUUUUUCUGUAAUCCUCAAUAAUCAAAUUUUUUACUCGUUUUAUAAUUCAAGACUGAUUGUGUAAAGAUAGAUAUAGUGAUCGCAUAAAAUAUCUUACUAAACUCACAAUAAAUGUAAUAUUAGAUCAUGUUUGUGAUAAGUAAAUCAGCUCUCCCACUAACUUUUGAUACUGUGUUGUAUUCACACUAGAUCACCUUCCUUGUCAUCUUCAAGUUUCUGAUUGGGAUCUAUUGGAGUGUCUGCUAGCCUACAACCACUCAUCCCAGUCUCCUUAAGAACAUCAAGGACACACUGCUGCUGUUGGGAUAUAACGAUCCCCUUCUUCGACAGAACAAUCUCUAAUCCAAGAAAAUCCUUAAUCUCUAUUUCAAUGGCAUAUGGGUGAUUAUUAGAUUGAAAGGUUUUCCUUCUUUGAGAGAACCUUUUUUAAAGUGAAAUAAACACAACUUUCAGUUUAUACGUUGCUUGUAAGAAUAGCACAUAUGAGUAUGAUUUUGAGAUUUGAAAGAACUCCUUGUUUAAGAGGAAAUUGGACUUUGUCAUGUGAAAUGAACACCUUUUCAAUUUAUACCCUGCAGAAAAUGAACAUCUAAUUAUUUGUCUAGCAAAGUAGCUUCAGUUGAAGAUUGCCUGUCUCACUUGCAAUGCAUGUGGCACUGAUUUGUUGAAGAUUAUUACCAGCAGACGUCACAUCUGUUGCAUUUCUUCAUUCAGCUAACCCAGUCUCACAAAAUUUUCCCUGUGUUUAGAAAGUUUCACCAAAACAAUAAAGCUAAAAAUGUCAUUACAAUUUCCUAGUAGAUAUUCAACUUUGCUAUGAGUUUUCAAAACAUGAUAAAAAGAUUUCUAUUUUUUUAUUCUGUUCAAGCAACAUUGACAUGGCAAUAAGCUAGCAUUGCACUGUUAUGGAUCAUGGCGAUUUGAUUUGUUUUUCAAUUUACAAUUUAGUCAAAUUCAAAGAAAACUUACACACAAAAAAGGAAAUAACCUGUUCAAAAUCUAAUUAGAAAUAAACUUCAUUUUGAUAUAUGGAAACUGAUUAUAAUGAUAACAUGACCAUUGAAACCUAAAAACAUAAAUUUGUUAAUUAAGAAAUGCUAGGAAAACUUUUUUUUUUUUUUACUAAUAUUUGUUUAUCAAUAAAAAUAAAAGGCAUCUAAAGUUUUUGCCAUUUACAAAAUUUUACAACACAUUGAGCCAUGAAAGUUGCCUGUUUUGGAAUGAGUCUAGAGAGGUCUUUGAAAUUGCAGUGAGACCUGAUUUAAAAAAAAAAAAUUUAAUUUUAAAUUUAAUUUUUUAUAUUUUUAUAUACAUAUUGUAUCGGUAUUAUAAAUAAAAUUUAAAAAAUAUAUAAUAAAAAUUUUAAUCCAUUCAAAAAUAAUAAUAAUAAUAAUUACCACUAUCUUAUACCACAUCCACAUAGCAUCGGUUUUGCUUUGAAAACAACUUGGCGACUGAAUGGUGGUCUAGUUAAACGUAUUUUUCUAAUCAGUGAUUUUUCUUUUAAAUUCAAGACGGUUGGCAUGUACUUGUGCUUCGUUAUCUUAUUUAAUUUUUUAUUCUAUAGUAAAAAGGUAUUUUUUUUAUUAGUUUAUAUGUCAAUCAUGAUUGAGUUUUUUAUUCAAAUGAUUUUAAGGAUAAACAAUUUAAAGUUAUGAAUCAUCGAACAAUCCAUUUAAAGUUAUAUAAUUAUGUUGUGAUGUAUCUUAAAUCAAAUAAAAAUUAUACUAGAUUAUUAACAUUUUUUAAUAAAUAUAAAAGAAAUAUUCAAACAUUACUAAUAUAUUUUUAAACAAAAAAAAAUUUAAAUAAUAUGAGGGUUAAUUUGAUAUAAUUUGGUUGAUUUUACAAGUUUACAAGUAAUCUAUAUAACCCGAAAAAACAUAAUUUGAUUAAAAAAAAAUUUAAGAUGAUAUAUUUUUUUAAUAUUAAGAUAAAAAUAUAUUAAAUUAUUUUAUUAAAUUAAAUCCAAAAAAAGUGAGUUUUUUUAACAGAAGCAAGAAAAACAUUUUUUUGUAAUGAUUUAUGUGCACAUUAAAAUGUGUUUUAUAUACUUGAUUUGGUUCUUGAUCUAUAGUAAUGAACCGGCUUUAUUUAAAAAUUUCUCAAAAAAUAAAAUUGCGUUGAACAAAUUAAUAAAACUACGCUAUCUCUUCUUUUUUUAUAUAUAUUAAAUGAUUGGUUAAAGAUGAAAUAAAUAAUUCUAUAUUAUUUGUUUGUACGUAUUACUUUUAAGCAUAGACUCUUUUAUUUGGUGAUAUAUAUUUUUAUCUAUGUUGUUUGCCUUUUUUUUCUGUUGUGUUUUUAUUCAUUGACAAUCGAGGCUCAAGAUGUCAAUUGGAUUUUAUUUGUUGUGAGCCAAUCUUUUAUUUUUAAUGAGAUCAUGUAUUUUUAAAAUUCAUCUUGAUGUCUUACUAUGCAUUUACACAUCACUUUCCGCUUUUAGGAACUCUGAAAGUGGAUCCUCCACAACAACAACUGCAUUUUACAUUGAGAAUGAAUGGCCAAAAUUUAAAGAAUACAUAGUGGCUGUAGAAGAUGAGGAAUGGGAGGAGGAAAACAUAUGGGAAUUCACAAAAUUAAUAGAACAACACGAACAGGCUUGGAGGCCCGCUAAAGAGGAACUUGAAACCAUAAAUGUAGGCAAUGAAGAAAUCAAACGAGAGCUGAAGAUAGGGACUUUGAUCACCCCUGCAGCAAAGGAAGAGUUGAUUGCACUGCUCAAAGAUUAUGUGGAUGUCUUUGCCUGGUCCUACGAGGAUAUGCCUGGUUUGGAUACAGACAUUGUGGUACAUAAAAUACCACUGAUGGAAGGAUGCAAGCCGAUCAAACAGAAGUUAAGGAGAACUCAUCCAGAGAUCUUAAUCAAAGUAAAGGCGGAAAUUGAAAAACAAUGGGACGCCGGUUUUUUGGAAGUAGUGAAGUAUCCACAAUGGGUGUCAAAUAUAGUGGUGGUACCCAAAAAGGAAGGUAAAAUCAGAGUUUGCAUGGACUUUAGGGACUUAAACCGGGCUAGCCCUAAAGAUAAUUUCCCUUUACCACACAUAGAUAUGUUAGUUGAUAAUGCAGCACGCAGCUCCACAUAUUCUUUCAUGGAUGGGUUUUCAGGCUACAAUCAGAUAAGAAUGGCGCCAGAGGAUAGGGAGAAGACAACCUUUGUAACACCAUGGGGAACCUUUUGCUACAAAGUCAUGCCAUUUGGUUUAAAGAAUGCUGGGGCCACUUACCAAAGGGCUAUGGUGACUUUGUUUCACGACAUGAUGCACAAAGAGAUUGAAGUAUACGUGGAUGACAUGGUUGCUAAAUCUAAAGAGGGAGAGAAUCAUGUCCAAGUAUUGAAGAAAUUAUUUGAAAGAUUAAGGAAAUAUAAGUUGAGGCUUAACCCAGCAAAGUGUUCAUUCGGGGUGAAAUCCGGUAAGCUGUUGGGAUUUGUGGUGAGUGACAAAGGGAUAGAAGUGGAUCCUGAAAAAGUAAAAGCUAUUCAAUCUAUGCCACCCCCAAGACUGAGAAGGAGGUGAGAGGUUUCUUAGGAAGGUUGAAUUACAUCGCUCGGUUUAUAUCCCAUUUAACCGCGACUUGUGACCCGAUCUUUCGUUUGUUGAGGAAGAAGAACCCUGGAAUAUGGAAUGAAGAGUGUGAUAAAGCUUUUGAGAAAAUCAAGCAGUACUUGCUAAAUCCACCUCUGCUUGUUCCUCCCGUACCAGAAAGGCCAUUGAUUUUAUACCUAACAGUAACCGAAACAGCAAUGGGAUGUGUGCUUGGGCAACAUGAUGAAACCGGAAGGAAGGAAAGGGCCAUUUAUUACCUAAGCAAGAAGUUCACGGAAUAUGAGUCUAGGUAUACUGUGAUUGAGAAGCUGUUGUGCACUAGCAUGGGCUACAAAGAGAUUACGUCAGUAUAUGUUGUAUCACACUACAUGGUUAAUUUCCAAGUUAGACCCGUUAAGGUACAUUUGUGAAAAGCCUUAUCUAUCUAGCCGAAUUGCAAGAUGGCAAGUUCUUUUGGCUGAGUAUGACAUAGUAUAUAUGACAAGGAAAGCCGUGAAAGGGAGUGUUAUUGCCGAUCACCUGGCUGACCAUGCUAUGGAAGAUUAUGAGCCGUUAAACUUUGACUUUCCCGAUGAAGAUGUGUUUGCAAUCGAGGAAGAGAAAUCAGAUUGGUGGGUUAUGUACUUUGAUGGUGCUGUAAAUGUAUGUGGUAACGGAGCGGGGGCAGUGAUAAUCUCUCCUGAUAAGAAGCAGUAUCCGGUUUCAGUUAAGCUGCAGUUCGGGUGCACCAACAACACGGCUGAGUAUGAAGCUUGCAUUCUUGGUUUAGAGGCUGCAUUAGAGAUGAACAUAAAAAGAUAGAUGUGUAUGGAGAUCAAUGCUGAUCAUUUGCCAAGUAAAAGGAGAAUGGCAAACCAAAGAAGAGAAGUUAAGGCCUUACCAAGAAUACCUGUCUAAGCUGCUAAAGAAUUUGAGGAAAUAGAGUUCACCCAUCUGGGAAGGGAAGGGAACCAGUUUGCAGAUGCUUUGGCCACACUAGCAUCUAUGGCCAAGAUAGACUUUGGGCACAAGGUACAGCCAGUACACAUCAAUAUCAGAAAUAACCCCGCUCAUUGUUGCUCAGUCGAAAGAGAAGUGGAUGGAAACCCGUGGUACUAUGAUAUCAAGAAUUUCAUCCAAAACCAGGCAUAUCCCAUGGGGGCAUCCAAAAUCGACAAGAAGACCUUGAGAAGGUUGGCAAUGGAUUUUUAUCUUGAUGGGGAGAUUUUGUAUAAGAAAUCAUCUGACGGGACUUUGUUGAGAUGUUUGGAUGAAUUUGAGGCAAAAAGCACAGUACGGGAAGUCCAUGAAGGGAUUUGCUCAACUCAUGCUAGUGGACAUGUGAUGGCCAGGAAGAUACAAAGAGCCGGGUACUUCUGGAUGACGUUAGAGAAGGAUUGUAUCGAUUAUGUCCGGAAAUGUCAUAAGUGCCAAGUAUACAGUGACAAAAUCAAUGCUCCUCCGGCUCCUCUGUUUAAUUUAACAUCUCCAUGGCCUUCGCGAUGUGGGGAAUUGAUGUGAUUGGACCGGUAAACCCAAAAGCCAGCAAUGGUCAUAGGUUUAUUCUCGUGGCUAUCGACUACUUCACAAAAUGGGUAGAAGCUGGGUCAUUUGCUCAUGUGACGCAAAAAGUGGUGAAGAAAUUUAUUGAGAGAGAUUUGAUAUGUCGGUAUGGUCCACCAGAAAAGAUUAUAACUGAUAACGCCCAGAAUUUCAACGGCAAGAUGAUAAUAGAGCUCUGCACUAAAUGGAAAAUCAAGCAUUCCAAUUCUUCGCCAUAUAGACCAAAGAUGAAUGGUGCGGUAGAAGCUGCUAACAAGAAUGUCAAAAAGAUUAUUCAGAAGAUGGUAGUCACCUAUAAGGAUUGGCAUGAGAUGUUGCCAUUUGCCCUUCAUGCAUAUCGCACCGCAGUUCGAACCUCAACAGGAGCCACCCCGUAUAUGUUGGUAUAUGGAAUGGAGGCGGUGAUGCCUUUAGAAGUGGAAAUCCCAUCAUUGAGAGUGUUGUUAGACUCUGAGCUGGAAGAGGUAGAAUGGGCAAAGGUUAGAUAUGAACAGUUGAAUCUGAUCAGUGAAAAGAGGAUAGCCGCGAUCUGUCAUCAUCAACUCUACCAAAGAAGGAUGGCUAAAUCAUAUGACAAGAAGGUUCGACCUCGAGGAUUCCACGAAGGAGAUCUUGUACUAAAGAAAAUAUUACCUUUACCUGGAGAAGAUCAGAGUAAAUGGGCACCUAACUACGAGGGGCCUUACGUGGUGAGGAAAGCAUUCUCAGGAGGAGCUUUGUUACUGUCUAGAAUGGAUGGAGAAGAUCUAGUUAGGCCUGUGAAUUCUGACUCUGUAAAGAAAUACUACGCUUGAUGUAUUUCGUAAUUUCCCAGUCAAUAAAAUAAAUUUCGGCCAUGAAUUCUCUUUGUAAAGAGUCCUUUUAUAUAUAUAUAUAUAUAUAUAUAUAUAUAUAUCAUAUGAUCUCAUAGCAUUUGAAAUCUUUUGUUUAAAAGAACUUUUUAUGGCAUGACUAAGAAAAUGACUCCAUCAAUUGGAGAACCAAAUCAAAUCUACUUGACAUAUAGUUGCACAUCACACUAGGGGGCAAAAGGUGCACGAAGUGCACAUAAGGGUCUAUAGUAAACCCAAGCCCAAAAGGGGUAUCAUAAUAAAAACUUCUAAAAAAGCAUCUUUUAUAAGAUUUGCUAAUUGCAUUAAAAGUUUCAGUUUUCAUGAACAAAACCAAUUUUUUCCUUUGGCACAAAACUCAAUGGAGCAAGAAAGGGCCCCAUGAGAAAAGCUUGAAACAAGAGCGAAGAGGUUUACGACGAAAGGGGGACCUAUGUUUCCAAGAUAGGUAACAAAAACAUACAUGCAUAUUAACCAUAAUACAUUGCUUUCAACAUUUGUCAGAUCGGGAUUUCAUCACCAUUUCUCAGGUAGCGCGUUUUCUAAACCCUAUCUCUUUUCGAGUGCGUUGUAUGAGCCCUCACUUUUUGGGUAGUGCGUUUUCUAACCCUAUCUCUUUUCGAGUGCGCUGUUUGAGCCCUCACUUCUUGGGUAGUGCAUUUUCUAACCCUACCUCUUUUUCGAGUGCGCUGUUUGAGCCCUCAUUUCUCAGGUAGUGCGUUUUCUAAAACCCUACCUCAUUUCGAGUGCGCCUUUGAGCCCUCACCAACAUUUUCUGGGUAGGUCACCCAUUACAACGCGACCAUUUUUUCCAAUUUUUUUUUUACUUGGGCAGGUCACCCAUAAGAAUGAGGCCAUUCCUUCCCCUGGGUAGGUCACCCAAAGAAUGAGACCACACUUUCUUUUUCCUUGGGUAGGUCACCCAUCACAAUGAGACCAUGUUUUUUUUUUGGGUAGGUCACCCAUCACAAUGAGACCAUUCUCCAUCUUUUUUUACCUGGGUAGGUCACCCAUAAGAAUGAGGCCAUUCCUUCCCCUGGGUAGGUCACCCAAAGAAUGAGACCACUCUUCCUUUUUCCUUGGGUAGGUCACCCAUCACAAUAAGACCAUAUUUUUUCUGGGUAGGUCACCCAUAAGAAUGAGACCAUUCUCCAUUUUUUAUUUAUCUGGGUAGGUCACCCAUAAGAAUGAGGUCAUUCCUUCCCCUGGGUAGGUCACCCAAAGAAUGAGACCACUCUUUCUCUUUUCCACUCGGGCAGGUCACCCAUCAUAAUGAGACCACACACACAUUUUUUGUAUUGGUUAUGAGUAAAGGAAUCGCCGGAUGGGAUUCCAGGUUAAAGGAGAUCACCAGAUGGGAUCUCGGAUGGAUUUCCAUGAUUGAUAAAACUAAAGUAAGAAUUCAGAGGAUCGAUGGAUAAGGAUCUCGAUAUAACUAAGUUUUGAUCAUAGUUUUUGGGCUAAGGAGGUUUGUUGUAAAAGACAAAGUUUCAGAUCAAUUAAGCUUCGAACAGAUUAGUUUCGGGAGUUCCGUUUUGGGUUUAUCUUUAUAACACUUACUGCGCAAAACCCAUGCUCCGUAAGUAUUAUAAAGAGGGGGCAUCUGUUGUAACCCAUUUUUGGGUCCCCAUAAAAAAUAAAAUAAAUAGCCAAAAGAGUUUAGAAAAAAUAACAGGAGGCAGAAGCGCUCAGGAAACAGUCAGAAAAUUGGUCAAGGAAUUUAAAAAUACAAGGAUUGAAUUUUUUACAGUAUAUUCUUGAAGGAUGAAAGCCCUAUUGAGAAGGAAAAAUUUGAAUUUUGAGGAGAAAAGCCCAAAUUUGGAUGUUUAUGGACUUAAUUGGAUUUUAUAUGAUUUAUAGAAGAUUUGAUUGCAAGAAAAAUUGAUUUUUAAGUCAAUUUGGGCUUAAUUUGAAGAAAUUUAAGUUCUGGGGCCAAAUAUAUUUUUUUAGGGUCAAAUCAGGGGCUUAAUUGCAUAAAUAUUGAAGUUUAAUGGCCAAUUAGGGACUUAAUUGUGAAAUCCGAAACCAGGGACCAAUUUGGAGAAGGCGCAAAGAUAGAGGGGCUGUUGGUUGUUUCAGGGCUUAAUUGAAGAAUUGGAAGUUUAUUGAUCAAUUAAGGGCUUAAUUAUGAAAAUCAGAGGCCAAGGACCAAAGUGAAAACGCGGCCAACUAUAGAGGUAGGGACCGAAUUUGGCAGGGACGCAAUUGAAUUUUAUUCUUGAUUGAAGGACUCGAUUGAAGGACUUAAUAGAAAAAUGACAAAUUAGGGACUGAUUUAAAAACAAAGUUUCUCUGGCGCCUUUAUUUUAAAAUGAAACGGCGCGUUUUGUCCAAAACGACGCCGUUAUGCAUAAAUAAAAAAAAAAAAAAAAAAGAGACCGAACGGUGCCGUUUUGAACGGCACUGUUCACUGUCUUCUUCCCCCCCGAAGAUUACAGCGGGGAAGAAGGAAAAGUUUGUAUUUUUUUUGCAGGUCCCUCUUGCCACCGACCGAGGCCCCACGCCGGUGGGCCACCGACAGAAAACAAUGGCCGACAACCUGCCUCGUUGCCGAAGCCGAGGGAGGCCCGCCGCUCCUCGACCCGCUCCGGGGCUCCACGUUGAAGUCACGCCAUGGUUCUAUAAAUAGAGAACCGAAAGGGAGAACAAGGGACGAACGAAAAAAAAAAAAGAAAGGAGAGGAACCCCGAAACAAAAAAAAAACGAAGAGAGAGAGGAAGAGAGAGAAACACUGUAACAGAGGAGAGAGAGCCACUGAAAACCCAAGAAAACCGAGAGCAAAGGGAGGUUUGAAGCCGGGAGGGAAUUUAAGAAAACAAAACCAACCCAACGAGCCGAGAGGACGUCGCCGGGCCACUUGGAAUUCGCCGUGAGAAGCCGCCGUCCGUGAAGCUAGGACACUGCCACCACCACCGCAGCCCCGCCAGCAAACCACCUCCUCCACCGCACCAGGUACGCCUCCUUUCCUCCCCCUGCAUUUUUUUUAAUCUAUAUCAGUUUUGCCUCCUGCAUGCAGGAGGCGGGGGGGGGGGAAUAAUUCCCCCCCCCCCCGUGCUCUUUUUUUUAUUUCUCUGGGACAGAUUGUGUCUGGCCCAGACCGAGGUUAAUUAGUUUGUUGGGCCGAGAUCGGCCCAGUCCCUGUUGGGCCGAGAUCGGCCCAACGACUUUUGGGGCUGGGUCCGGCCCAGUUUAGUUGGGCCGGCCCAGCCCCUUUUAAAUAUAUAAAUAUAUUAUAAUUAUAUUAUAUUAUUAUUAUUAUUAUAUGUGUGUGUAUAUAUAUAUAUAUGUUUUUUUUUGAAAAAAAUUUGAAAAAUCUAAAAAAAAUUGUUGUUAUUUUCUUUUCAUAUAAAUAUAUUUUUGUUUUAUACAUUUGGUUUGUAUUUUUAUACUGUAAAGAUACAAAACCAGUGUUAAAAAUACCCGGUUCUCGUCAAAACAUCAAAGAUUUUUCAUAAUAAAAAAUGUUUUUGCUUUCAAAAAAAUUCUAAAAGGUCCCUAAAAAUAUUGUUGAUUUUUCUGCAUAUUUUUAUCAAAGCGGAUUAAUAUUGGGUUGUAUUUUUAUACCGUAAGGAUACAAGCUCAGUAUUAAAAUACUCGAUUUUCAUCAAAGCAUAAAAAAAAAAUAUAUUUUCCAAAAAUUGUUUUUUUUUGUUUUAAAAUACGGCCUAGUCUCUCCAAUAUAUAUAUAUAUAAAUAUUAUAACAUCAUAUUUUCACACAACGAAGAAAAUUUUCAAAACAAUAUAUGUAUUAACAUGUAUUUUGGCUUUAAUAACCAGUUUAUUCAAGCCAUGAGAACUAGGCCAAUAUUUCAAAAAUUCUAAAAAAUCUUUUUUGUUUUCUUUUAGUAUUUGGGAUUACGAAUUUAUACAUAAAACGUAUUCCUAAAUAUUAUUAAUAAAGUUUUGGGUAUAGACGUUAGAACGGUUAGGAUUUUACCCGAUAAGAUAAAAGACCUUCUUACCGAGGAGGAUUUUUCUUGAACCAUAGACAGACCAACGACUAGAAGUAUAAUAACACUUUAGUUUUUAUCAGACAAUAAAACAAUGCAGCUUACCUUAGGUAGGGCGUAUUUGGGGUGCUAAUACCUUCCCUUUACGCAACCAGUCUCCGUACCCGAUCUCUGAGACCAGUUAGGGUUCCUAGUGACCAAAAUACUAGAUGGCGACUCCAAAAAAUCAAACCAAAUAAAAAAAUUCGCCAGUCGAACCCGCAAUUGAAAAAUUGGUUUUUUUUAGGGUGCAACACUUUUUAUCAGAUCUUGUGAAAAUACUGGUUUAUUAUUUCUUGUUCUCGUAUAACAGUAGAGGGUUAUAUAUAUACAAAGCCUAGAAAGCUAUUUUAGGAAUAUUACUACGGGCCUAUAAUCUUGCAGAAUUAAAUACAAUGAAUCAAACUAAUUAGGAAUACACAGCUCAUUGACACUCCCCCUCAAGUUGGAGCAUAUAUGUUGCUCAUGCCCAACUUGCUAAGUGAGUUGUGAAAUACUUUGCCUGUGACAACUUUGGUGAGGACAUCUGCAAGUUGAUCUUUGGAUUUAACAAAGGACACCUCGAUGAUCUUUGCCUCGAGUUUUUCCUUGAUGAAAUGUCUAUCAACUUCAACAUGUUUGGUUCUAUCAUGUUGUACUGGAUUAUGUGCAAUAUCUAUUGCAGCUUUGUUGUCACAAUUCAAUUGCAUGGCAUGAUUGGGUUUGAACCCCAAUUCCCCUAAUAAAUUCCUUAUCCAGAGUAGCUCACAUACUUCGUGUGCCAUACCUCGAUAUUCUGCUUCAGCACUUGAUCUUGACACUACGUUCUGUUUUUUACUUCGCCAAGAUACUAGAUUGCCUCCCACAAAGGUAAAAUAUCCAGAUGUAGAUCGUCUGUCAGUAAUAGAGCCUGCCCAGUCUGCAUCGGUGUGACCCUCGAUAUCUAAAUGACCAUGUCGUGAGAACAUCAAUCCUCUUCCAGGAGCUGACUUCAAGUAUCUCAGAAUUCGGUUUACUGCAUCCAUGUAGGCUUCACUUGGUGCAUGCAUGAACUGACUUACCACACUUACAGCAUAUGCUAUAUCAGGUCUAGUGUGUCCCAAAUAAAUCAACUUACCUACAAGGCGUUGAUAUCUUCCUUUGUUGGUGGGUACCUGAUUAGGAUAUUCACCAAGUUGAUGAUUCAACUCCAUUGGCGUGUCUGCUGGUUUACUAGCUAACAUUCCAGUGUCAGUUAAAAUAUCAAGGAUAUAUUUCCGUUGUGAUAGAAAUAUUCCUUGUUUAGAACGAGCCACUUCGAUGCCUAAAAAAUACUUUAGAGCACCAAGAUCUUUCAUUUCAAACUCACUUGCCAAGUGCCGCUGCAGUGCUGCCUUUUCCUCCGGGUCAUUCCCUGUAACUACCAUAUCAUCAACAUAUACAAUAAGGGCAGUGACUUUACCUUUCUUAUGUUUCAAGAAAAGUGUAUGAUCUGAGUUACUUUGCUUGUAUCCGAACCCUUUCAUUGACUUGCUGAACUUUCCAAACCAUGCUCUAGGUGAUUGUUUCAAUCCAUAAAGAUACUUUCUUAGUUUACACACCAUGUUGCCUUUAUCAGGUCCCAUCUUGCAUCCCGGAGGGGGAUCCAUAUAGACUUCCUCUUCUAGAUCACCAUGCAAAAAUGCAUUUUUGACAUCAAACUGGUGUAAUGGCCAAUCUAGGUUUGCUGCCAGAGAAAGAAGUACUCGAAUUGUGUUAAUCUUGGCUACAGGAGCAAAUGUCUCCCCAUAAUCAAUCCCAUAAGUCUGAGUGUAUCCUUUCGCCACCAAUCUUGCUUUGUAUCGCUCAAUGGAGCCAUCUGCCUUGAACUUUACUGUAUAUAUCCAUCUACAACCCACUGUUCUCUUUCCUUUUGGAAGGAUAGUCAUCUCCCAAGUGGAAUUCUUCUGAAGGGACUCCAUUUCAUCAUUCAUUGCUUGGGACCACUUGGGAUCUUUCAAAGCUUCCUGCACAUUACUUGGAAUAGAUACAGUGGAUAAUUGACAUACAAAUGAUGCACAUGACAGAGAUAGCCUAUGUAGGGACACAUGAUUAGCAAUAGGGUAUUUAACAUUUGUUUUAAGGUCAGGGUCAUAUUGUUGUCUAGGAAUACCUCUAGUCGUACGAGGAGGUAGUUGAUAACUUGUGUUUCCUGUAUUACUUGACUCAGGUAGAGUGAUUGAGUUGGAGUUUGAAUGUUUAAUUACCUGUGGGAAAUCAUCAGGACCUGAUUGGAUGUAUGGUGAUGGUACUGUAGUAGGAGUUGUAGAGGGGAAAUUAUCUGAACUAGUACCAGCAUCUGGAGUUCUUAGUGACUCUUGAUCUUGUUGCACCACUAUAACUAGUUGUUCGGAAUCUGAUUGCUCAGUACCAGCAUCUAGAGUUCUUAGUAACUCCUAUUCUUGUUGCACCAUUGUAACUGGUUGUUCAGACACCGACUGCUCUAAAACCUUUUGUUGAAUUUGGAUCUGAGUAUCUUUUGCAAAGAUAGAGCUCUCCCCCUACAGAGGAUGCUUAGAGACUCCCCCUGAGUAAUAGAACUCACUCUCGUGGAAAGUCACAUCUGCAGUAAUGUGCAAGGUUUGAGUAGGAGGAUGGAAACAUUUAUAGCCCUUCUGAGUAUCAGCAUAACCCACAAAGACACAACGCAGAGCACAUGGAUCAAGCUUGCCACGUUGGUGUGGAUAUAACUGAACAUAAACAACACAUCCAAAGAUACAUGGUUCGAGAUUUGGUGUAGAUGGCAUGGUGGGGAGAGUGGUCAAUGUCUGAAAUGGAGUUUUAUACUGAAGAGUGCUAGAUGGUGUUCUAUUAAUGAGGUAAGCAGCAGAACAAAGAGCCUCCCCCAAAAAAUAAUGAGGUAAACUGGCCUCAAAUAAAGAGGCACGAACAACUUCCAAGAGAUGUCGAUUAUUACGCUCUGCGACACCAUUCUGUUGUGGUGUAUAUGCACAUGUGGUGUGAUGAACAAUACCAUGUUGACUUAAAAAAUUAUGAAGGUCAUUGUUGACAUAUUCUCCUCCAUUGUCAGACCGGAGGGUCAUGAUUUUCUUGUCAAACUGAGUAGCAACAUAUUGAUAAAAUAGUUUGAAUUUGAUGGUAACUUCACUUUUCUGUCUUAAAAGAAACACCCAGGUCAUCCGAGUGCAAUCAUCAAUAAACGUCAUAAACCACUUAUAACCAGUAAUAGUAGGAACUCGUGAUGGUCCCCAAACAUCAGAAUGAACAAUCAUGAAAGGCAUGGAACUUUUAUUCAACCUUAAUGGGUAAGAAAUGCGAUGACUUUUCGCCAAAAUGCAAGUUUCACAAUGAAAGUCUGAUUCAAUAAACUGAGAAAACAAAUCUGGAAAUAGAAGUUUCAGAUAACCAAACGAGGCAUGCCCUAAUCGUCGAUGCCAUAACCAAAUUUUCUUCAUUCUGAUGGACUCACCUCCUCUCACAUGAUGUGCAUGACUCAAUCUCUUAGUUAUGUCAUCUGUCAAGUCCAGAUAAUAUAAUUUUCCCCUCCUAGUACCACAUUCAAUCACGGCCUUGCUGAGAAGAUCCUGAAAUAGACAAUAUAAUGGCCAAAAACACACGGUGCAAUUAAGGGAAUCAAUGAUCUGAGGAACAGAUAACAAGUCAUAGUCCAGUGAAGGGACAACUAAGACAUGAUCAAGACUUAAUGAGGAUGUGAGAGAUAAGGACCCUUCUCUCAUAACUCGGGAGGUGGUGCCAUUGGUACUAACAAUAUGUGUUUGGCUGGAAGGUGUGGCAGAGUGUAACCCAAUAAAACUAGAUGUCAUGUGAUUAGUGGCACCAAUGUCAAUAAUCCAUGAUCUAUUACAAGUAAGUGAAGAUGUGCAAGAGUUACCUGAGGUGGCCAAGGCCUUGGAGUCAGUUGUACCUGAUGGAGUUUCUAAUGUAGUCUCCUGAGAUGAUUGGGCAGAUGCAAAUGAUGCUCGGUUUGAGUCCCUCUUGCGCCUUUUGUGAACCCAUCCUUCUGGAUAACCAAUGAUCUCAUAACAGCCCUUAAUUGUGUGAUUAUCUAAACCACAUUUGGUAUAUUUCAUUGGUGGUCGGUUACGAGCAGGGUCAACGUUAUAGCUAUGCAGCCGAGAUUGUUUUACCCUUGCACCAGCCAAGGCUGUGGCUGCGUUGGUUGCACCAGCUUCAGACAUGGUUCCUUGUUUGUUACUUUCCCUUUUAAUAUGUGCGUAUGCACCCUCAAGUUCUGGUUUAGGCUCCAUCCUCAAAAUCUCUCCUCGAAUUUCAUCAAAAUUAUUGUCUAAACCUGCAAGAAAUAUGUAAACUCGAAGACGAUCAACCUCUUUCCGUCUAAUUUCAAUGUCUGAUGGAUGCUCCAUUGUGCUUGGAUUUAAUUGAUCAAGCUCCUGAAAAAUCUCAGUAAGCUCACUGUAAUACUUGGCAACUGAUGCACCAGCUUGUCUCAUUAUGAAUGAUCUUCUGUGCAGGUCAUAAAUCUUAGCUUCAUCAGCACCAUCUGAAUAGGUUUGCUUGAUUGCAUCCCAGACUUGCUUUGCUGUGUCAUAACGAAUAAACCUUUUAAUUUGAUUAGGCUGCAUGGCAUCAAACAACCAACUCUUGACUUGGCAGUCUGAUGCUCGCCAUUUAUUAAAUGUGGAAUUUGUGACUGCAGGCUGGGCAAUAUCACCAGUCAGAUGGCCAUGCUUUUCUCGCCCAGCUAUCUUCAUCUCUAUGAUUUGAUGCCAUAAAGAAUAGUUAUUCUCAUCAAGUUUUAUUCCUGCAGAGAAGUUGGAGGUGUCACUCUGCAAUGUGACUAUUUGUGUGGUAGUGUUGGAGUCUCCUGACAUGAAAGAUUGAUUAGUGUUUGUUGAACAAUCAUCAUCGGCCAUGAUAUUGGCUUACAAGUGAUGAGAGAAAGGAGAAAGAACAGAGUAAUUUGACUAAUGUAACAAAAAAAAAAAGAGCAAGUAGAGUAAUUUGGUUGAGGGAACGGUGAAAGGUGAUUUAGUAUUUCUUUUGACUUGUGGGUUGGAAUGUGAAUAAUCUGACUGUGUGGAUGAUGGUUGCUGCUGCGAAGGGUUCUGUUGGGUUUGUAUGACGGCUGCUGUUGCGGAAACGAUUUAUAAAAUUAGGGCAAGAGACAGUCAAGAUCGACUGCUCUGAUACCAUAUCAGAUCUUGUGAAAAUACUGGUUUAUUAUUUCUUGUUCUCGUAUAACAGCAGAGGGUUAUAUAUAUACAAAGCCUAGAAAGCUAUUUUAGAAAUAUUACUACGGGCCUAUAAUCCUGCAGAAUUAGAUACAAUGAAUCAAACUAAUUAGGAAUACACAGCUCAUUGACACUUUUCAACCGGGUUUUUUGGAAGUUGAUAGUCAGGCACAUCAUUUUGCCCACAAGGAUCACCCAUUGAUUUUGAAUGAAGAGCAAGAAUAUCAUGGUGAAGGAGUAAAGUGCUUCGUGUGCACGGAACCAAUGUCUGGUCCUAGCUAUAGUUGCAUUUCUCGCAACUUGUUUCUUCACAAGAAGUGUGCUGAGCUACCCCCGGAGAUCAAGAGGCACAUUCAUCCAGAACACCCUCUUCGUCUACUGCCAAAUCAUGAUACGAUGUGUGAUUUUUGCAACGAAACUUGCUAUGAGAGUUUUGUUUACUGCUGUCUUGUGUGCGAAUUCAACCUCCAUAUCAAAUGUGCUUUUCCACCGUGCGUUUAUGCAGCUGAUCAGGAUCAAAGGCAUCUAUUUAGACGCCUACUGAAUCCACUUUCAUUCAAAUCAAUCUCCUUCACCUGCAAUGCAUGUGGCACAGAUGGAGAUGGCUCCCCUUUCAUGUGCACCUUGUGCCAUCUCGUGGUCCACGAAGAAUGCAUUUCAUUGCACUGCACCAUCAUCCCCAAAUCAUCCACACAUAUCAACUUCAACAAUGCAUCGAAUCUAUAAACAGGUACUGUUGAAUUUGCCUUCGGGAAGUUGACUCAAAUUACGGAGUUUACUAUUGCCCGGACUGUGACUUCGUUGCACACGUGAAUUGUAGUAGAGAAUAUGGGGAUUCUGCAACAGAGAUUGUGGUAGAAAACGAAGAAGAGCAAAGUGUGGCUGUUGAUGAUCAAUCCAUGGAACCUAGCUUUCGCGUUGUCCGUGAGAUCAAGCAUGGAGAAGAGAGAAUAAUUGAAGAGAUCAAACAUUUCAGUCAUCAACAUAACCUAAUCCUUAUUGACAAGGUUGAUGAUGAUCUAAAGUGUGAUGGGUGCAUGUUACCAAUCUCAACUGACAAAACCUGCUUAGAAUUACCAGGCGAAAAAAGUGGCAAUAUCACGAAAACCAACUGAUUCUUUUAUAUAACCUAUGGGAACAUGAUCUGUACAAGUGUAGUGUGUGCAAGCAAUAUUUUCGUGGGCUCAGCUACUGUUGUGUUAUAUGUGGACUCUGGAUUGAUGUCCAAUGCUUCAAAUCAUUGAAAGAUUCUUUUAAACACAGAGGUCAUGAUGAGCAUCCCCUUUAUCUUCCAGCGGGCAGAAAGAGUAUUCUCCAUUGCGAUAUUGGAGGUCGCGGGGCUCCCCCUUGGCUUGCAGAUGACGGAGAGAAUAUUCCCCAUUGCAGUGGCUGUUGUCACCGAAGAAUCAAAGGUAUUUUUUAAAUGUGCGGUUUGCGAUUUCAAGCUGGGUAUAAAAUGUGCUACACUGCCAUACAUAGCAAGACACGAGUAUGAUGACCAUCCUCUCUUCCUCACCUACAUUAAUGAAAAUGACUACCAGCCUUCCUGCUUAAUUUGUGAAAAAGAUAGAGACCCCAAGCUCUGGUUCUACCGUUGUGAGGAAUGCGACUUCGAUGCUCAUCCAGAAUGUGCUCUCGGGAAAUACACAUAUUUCAAGGCAGGGGGGGUUCGAACAUAUCCUAAACACCCUCACCCUCUUGCUUUGGUCGUCAAGACAGAGGAUUAUGCAGCAUGCGAUAUCUGUGGUGAGCCUUGCGAUGACUUGGCCCUUGAAUGUACUGAUCAUAACUGCAGUUUUAUCGUCCACAGGAAAAGAAGGCAAUGCUGGAUGCCAUUAUGGUAAUUGGAUUGCAGUUGUUGGCUUUUUUCUUAUUUUUGGGUUAUGAUUGUUGGCAGUUGCUAGACAGAGGAUUAUUAUCUCUGUUUCUUUUUACGCGUAUGAGAUCGCUUUUUUUUGUCUGAGCAAUGGAUGCUAUUUUAUUAAAAUUGGAAAUGAAAUAUUUUAUUUUAAUAAAAAUAAUUGGUAGUUUGUUGUUUCUUUGAGCCUUCGUAGUGACAAAGAUGCAAGAGCCACCAUUUGUUUUAGCUUAGCAGGAAGCUCUCGAUCCUCUCCAUAAAUUCCGCUUUUACAUAUUGCUUCCUGAAGUUCAGGAAACAACACGGUAUUGGUGACGCGGUCUCUAAUAAUAAAUAAAUGUAUUUAAAUAAUAUUUAAAACAAAUACCUUAGGAGCAUUCGACAGCUUUGUCCUUUAAUAAGAUAUAAUAGUUUUGAUAUCCGUGCAAUGUUGCGGGUCAAUUUUUUAUAUAAAAAAUAAAUAAAAAUUUAAAAAUCUUGGGUUUUUCUGCAAAGUUAUACCCAAGAAUCUUGGGUUUGGCUGCAACGUCUGACCUAAGAGUAAUAUUUAUAAUAUUAAUAAUAAAAUUUAACUUGCAUGACCCAAAUUUAAGUGAGCCUGACUGUAACACCGGACCCAAGAAUAUUGGAUCUGGAUUUGGCUAUAAGGUCGUGUAAUUAAAAUUUUGAUAAUUAAAUAGAUUAAUUAGAAAAAAGAAAAAAAUCAACAGAAAGGAAAAAACUAAUGAAGAAAAAGAAAAAAAAAUUAAAUUAAUUGGGUUAACCCUUUAAACCAGGUUAUCCCAUAAAACCUGGGAUUUGCGUCAUGAAAGUUUGAUAACUAAAUAGAAAAAAACAAUGACGGGUUUACCCAGAAUUAACCGAGUUAACCCCUCAAACCAAGUUAACCCAUCAAGCUCAGGAUACGUGUCAUGAAAAUCUGAUAAUUAAAUAGAAAGAAAAUUAACUUUAACAAACUAAACUAAAUGAAAAAAAUAAUUCGUCAAAUCAGGUUAACCCAUCAAACCCGAGAUUCGUAUCAUAAAAAUAUGAUAACGAAAUAAAAAAAAUUAACAUUAACAAACUAAAUCAAACAAAAAAAAUUAUUUAAAAAAAAUUAAAAAGAAAAAACAAAAGAAAAAAACAGUCAUAUAAUAUAAUACAAUAUAAUAAUAAUUAUAAUGAAAAAACGUAAGGAAAGCUAAAGCUUAAUUCUGAAUCAACUCAAUAUUAAAAAAUAAAUUUAAUAAAGAUAAUUUAAAAAAUAAACAUGUGGAGGAAACACUGCAGCCAAACAAAAAUCAUGUAAGGGAAACACUGUAGUAAUCCACAGUGUUUUUUUUUUUAAAAAAAAGCUACAAAGCCAAGUUCUCAACCAACUUAAUAUAUAUAAAAAACCGAGAUCCGUGUAAUAAAAGUAUGAUAACUGAAUUAAUUUUUUUUUUUCACAUUAACAAACUAAAUUGAACAAAAAAAAUUCAUUAAAAGAAAAAAAAACACAAAGAAAAAAGCAAAAAAAAAAACCCAUGGGCAAAGUUGCUACAGUGAAAAACCCACGCGUUUAAAAAAAAAAAUCUACUAUAGUGAAAAACCCAUGUGUUAAAAAAAAACAUGUACAAAAAAAUAAAAAGAAAAAAAAAGCUGCUAUAGUUAAAAAACAUUUUUAAAAAAAGAAAAACUGCUACAGAAAAAAAAAACUAAAAACGAAAAAAAAAAGCCACGGAAGAAAAAACUGCAAAAAAAAACUUUAGCUACAGUGAAAAAGCUAUGCAUUUUAGAGUUCUUAUUAACCUUUCAAACCAGGAUAACCCUUCAAACAUUAGAUUCGCGUUAUGAAAGUUUAAUAACUAAAUAGAAAAAAAAAUUAACAGAUUAACCCAUAAUUAACUGGGUUAACCUGUCAAGCUUGGAAUACGUGUCAUGAAAGUCUGAUAAUUAAAUUGAAAGAAAUUUAACAUUAACAAACUAAACUAAAUGAAAAAAUUAAUUAAAAAAAAAUAUCUAGUUAACUCUAAUAUAAAAUACUUACGCCUAUAGAUUUUUAACGUUUAGGUACCUCUAAUGUAAAAUACUUACACCCAUAGGCAAAUGAGUAAUAUAGGAAGUUGAGGAAACCCAGCAAAAGUCAACGAGUCUUCUUCUCCAAGAAAAGAGGGGAAAGUGUCUUCUUAUGCACAUACUUGAACAACCUCAUCCGCACAAAUAGAGGAGCCUGUAGCUUUCCUCGUGAUCUUCUACCCACCUCUUCCUUACGGGUAACACGCUUCCUUCCUUUUCGGGUUUCUUUGAAUCUUGGGUCCUUUGAGUUAUUUUUCGUUUCGGCUCUGUGUUCCAUAAUCUUUGAUAAAGGGGAAGAGGGAAGAAAAAUGCUUCCCCAGCAAUUUACAAAGUUCCCAUCUUUAUGGUAAUUCACUGUGUUCUGUGAUCUCAAUUGUUGAUCAGUACUGUAGCAGUAAGCAGCUGAAUUUAUUUAAUUAGCCGUCGGAGAAGAGGUCAAUUUUCAGGUUAGAAGGUGAGGAGUUGAAUACUAGGAGGAGAAGAUAAUAUGGAGUUCAAAACUUAAUAUAUAGUCCAAGACUAUUAGGGCACGCCCUGUCAGUCUUUCAGUAAUAAUUAUCGUUGAAUGACUGUCCUCCUCAGUUUAGAACACCAAGUUAUCUCCAUGUAUCUAUCUCUCUUUGUUUCUUGAUGAAAUUCGGUAGACUUGCAGGAUGGUGCUUCCGCGAUGUAUAUGUCGUUGGUUUUCCAUAUCUUUUGCACUAGGAAAGCCAUAUAUGGGCUAGGGUUAGGUAUAGAGCCAUGACUAAAUGUUCUGAGGCUGUAAACACUUGAAAAUAACAUCUGCAAUAUAGUACACCCUUGGGCAUGUGGGAUUUGUUUUUGGUCUAGGGACUUUGAACAUUAUUGGAGGCACAAAUUUAAUACAUGAUGUGUACCUCUGAAGCAGAAUCUUUAUCUUUGAUUAUGAUCUAUAAAGUAAGAGUUGUCAAUUGCUCUCUUGCACGCAUGCAACCGUCAAUGGUCCCAGAUUGAAUAACACAUGUAACAGUCAAUGCUUCAAGGAUGAUGAUAUCUAAAGGCAAGCGAUCUCCGUGUUCUGUUCUUUGUGGAGUCAGAUUGAACACAAGAUUGCCAUCCGAGACUUCAUUUUCAAUCUGUUUCGUGAACUGUAAAUGCUUGAUGAAUGAUUGAAAUCAUGCUUGAACUUGACAACUCCAUUGUUUAGUCACUUUCCAGAUCAUGCAUCUAGAGAUUGUUAUGUUUUUCCUGCUUACUGCUUUCUCUGAGUCCUAACAGUAAUCGAACUGAGUCAACUCCUCCUCCUUGCACAGACUGUGUUAGCCGGUUGACUAACUGAGGCAGUAUCUGGAUUGCAGGAGUUUUCAUACAAUUAAUUAGAUUUUUAAUUUCUUGUGAUAUAUAGUAUGGCGUACUAAACAUGUUAUUCACUAUUGAUGUGUAUUUGGAAUUGAAAAAGGGUUAGUGAUUUCUAAUUGUUCAUCCUUAUGCAGGAGAUAGAACUGUAGUAGCUUUCAUGUAAUCAUGAUCUUUCUUUUAAUAGUUUAUUUACAUAAUAUAUUAUGGUGAUAUAUAGUUAAAUUUUAAUUAUUUUAAAAAACAAGGAUUUACUUUAAAAAACACAAUCUAUCACACUCUAAAAAAUACCUGUGGUAAACUUAGAGUAUGGUAUUGUUGUUAUUGCUAUUUCAAAAAUUUAAGAUUUAAAGGAUCACCAUCUUGUAUGCUAAUUAUUUGUGAUGAGACGAUUAGAUAAUAAAAUGCCAAAACUGAAUAAGGGAAGGAACGAAAAAACAAAAAACCCCAUCCAAUAGACUAGCAUCAUUUUCGUUUUAGUAUUUUUCAAGGCUAAAAUAGACUAUAUGGCCUGUUUGUUUUUCGUGGUUGUCGUUGUCAUCAACAAUAAUAAUUAUUAAUAUUAACAAAAAAAAGUUAAAAGAGAUUUUCAAGGCUAAAAUAGACUAUAUGGCCUGUUUUUUUUUUGUUUUUAAAUUAAAUUAUAUUUUUAGUCAUCUCUCACAUAGGUCAAGUCUAAGGCCCCUUCAAUGUUUUUAGGCCGAUGAUUGGUUUGCUUGAUAAUGCUAAGCCCAAUUGUAAUUAUUUUGGCCCAUUUCUUGUUCAUGAAUCCGUUGUUCAUGUCUUGAGGCCCAUCUCAAAUUCGAGCAGAGAACCACACUGAUAUUAUUCCCUUUCACAUAUGCUUAUCUACAUAAUAAAUCCACUCGACGUCCUUUGAUCUUCAUCCUGCUACCAGCAAAAUAAUUGUAUUUUUACACCCCUCUUGUCAACUGAUCAUUUAUGAUAUUUGAAAAUUAUGUUUUUUACAUUAAAAAUAGUGUGGGGCAGUAACAUAUAGUUUUGUUAAACAAAAACUAUAAUAUAUUUUUUUAAAAAAAAGAGGUGGAUGAUAGGUCAUCCAACCCCUUAAAAAUAUGAGUGUAUUUUUAGAGAGUUAGUUCUCAAUUUCUUAUUGUCUUGAAAUAAACUUGAAAUACUAUUUUUUUAUUUCAUUAAUAACUUAUUAUAUGGACAUGAUCCGUUAACUAAGCAAUGGACCAAUCCAAUAGAAUACUAAGUAAUGGACCAAUCCAGUAAUAAAAAGUUGAGGAGACCCAGCUCAAGUCAACGAGUCUUCUACUCCAACCAGAAAAGAAAGGGGAAAGUGUCUUCUUAUUCACAUGCUUAUCUAAUAUCAUCUGCACAAAUAGAAGUAACUUUCCUUGUGAUCUUCUUCCCACCUCCUCCUUACAGAUAACACCCUCCCUUCCUUUUCGGGCUUCUUUGAAUUUUGGUAUCCGAUCUUAAUGGGAAAUCACUGUGUUCUGGAUCUCGUUGGUUGAUCUGUAAUGUAGCAAUAAGCAGCUGUAAUUAUUUAAUUAGCCGUCGUCGGUGAAGAGGUCAAGUUUCAGUUCAGAUGGUGAGGUAUUGAAUUCUAGUAGCACUCAACUUUUAUUUGCCUCUUCAAUUUGGCCUCCCUAAGUCUUGCCUUGGCUCAACACCCCUCAUUUCCUGCUCUGUCCGCUGAGAGAGCCAGAGACAUGGAGGUUGAACAUUUUAGCCACCCAGAUCAUCCAUUGAUCCUCAUUAAUCAAGUUCUCGAAUAUAGUUGCAAACUAGUUAUUUGCUCUGGAUGCGAGGGACCAAUAUGGGGUCCUUGCUACAGUUGCACCUCUUGCUACUUCUUUCUUCAUAAGACAUGCGCCGAGCUGCCCCGUGAGAUCAAGCGGCGCAUUCAUCCUAGACACCCUCUCCAUCUACUGGCAAAGUCACCAUAUAAAGGAAAAUACCGUUGUAAUCGGUGCGACAAAACUUUCAACUGUUUUGUUUACCAUUGUUCUUUCUGUCAGUUUGAUCUUGAUAUCAAAUGUGCUUUUCCACCGGGUUUUUUGGAGGUUGAUAGUCAAUUUGCCCACAAGGAUCAUCCAUUGAUUUUGAAUGAAGAGCAAGAAUAUCAUGGUGAAGGAGUUACGUGCUCUGUGUGCAAGGAACCAAUGUCGGGUCCUAGCUAUAGUUGCACUCCUUGCAACUUCUUUCUUCACAAGAAGUGUGCUGAGCUACCCCCAGAGAUCAAGCGGCACAUUCAUCCAGAACAACCUCUUCGUCUACUGCCAAAUCAUGAUACGAUGUGUGAUUUUUGCAACGAAACUUGCUAUGAGAGUUUUGUUUACUGCUGUUUUGUUUGUGAAUUCACCCUCCAUAUCAAAUGUGCUUUUCCACCGUGCAUUGAUGCAGCUGAUCAGAAUCAAAGGCAUCAAUUUAGACGCCUAAUGAAUCCACUUUCAUUAAAAUCAAUCUCCUUCACUUGCAAUGCAUGUGGCACAGAUGGUGAUGACUCCCCAUUUGGAUGCACUAUGUGCCAACUCGUGGUCCACAGAAAAUGCAUUUCAUUGCCACGCACCCUUAAAACGGUACUGCACCAUCAUCCCCAAAUCAUCCACACCUAUCAUCCUCAACAAUGUAUCAAAUCUAUAAACAAGUACUGUGGAAUUUGCCGUCGGGAAGUUGAUACAGAAUACGGAGUUUACUAUUGCCCAGACUGUGACUUUGUUGCACACGUGAAUUGUAGCAGAGAAUAUGGCGAUUCUGCAUCAGAGACUGCAGGACAAAGUGUGACUGUUGAUGAUCAAUUCAUGGAACCUAGCUUUUGCGUUGUCCGUGAGAUCAAGCAUGGAGAGGAGAGAAUAAUUGAAGAGAUCGAGCAUUUCAGUCAUCAACAUAACCUAAUCCUUACUGACAAGGUUGAUGAUGAUCUAAAGUGUGAUGGGUGUAUGUUACCAAUCUCAACUCCAUUUUAUAGUUGUGUCAGUUGUAAUUUCUUUCUUGACAAAACCUGCAGUAUAGAAUUACCCAGGCGAAAAAAAUGGCAAUAUCACGAAAACCAAUUGAUUCUUUCAUGGAACCAAGGGGAACAUGAUCUGUACAAGUGUAGAGUGUGUAAUCAAGAUUUUCGUGGGCUCAGGUACGUAUGUGAUGUAUGUGGACUCUGCUUUGAUGUCCGAUGCUUCAAAUCAAUAUUGAAAGAUUCUUUUAAACAUGGAGGUCAUGAGCAUCCCCUUUAUCUUCCAGCGGACAGAAAGAGUAUUCUCCGUUGCAAUAUUGGGCGUCCCCCUUUGCUUGCAGAUGACGGAGAGAAUAUUCCGCAUUGCAGUGGCUGUUGUGUCAGUGAAGAAUCAAAGGUAUUUUUAAAAUGUGCGCGUUGCGAUUUCAAGCUGGGUAUGAAAUGUGCUACACUGCCAUACAAAGCAAGACACGAGUAUGAUGACCAUCCUCUCUUCCUCACCUACAUUAAUGAAAAUGACUACCAGCCUUCCUGCUUAAUUUGUGAAAAAGAUAGAGACCCGAAGCUCUGGUUCUACCGAUGUGAGGAAUGCGACUUCGAUGCUCAUCCUGAAUGUGCUCUCGGGAGAUACCCAUAUGUCAAGCCAGGGGAGGUUCACAAAUAUCGUAAACACCCUCACCCUCUUGCUUUGGUCGACAAGACAGAGGAUUAUCGUCCACAGGCAUGCGAUACUUGUGGUGAGCCUUGCGAUGACUUGGCCCUUGAAUGUACUGAUCCUAACUGCAGUUUUAUCGUCCACAGGAAAAGAAGGCAAUGCCGGGUAUCAUUAUGGUAAUUGGAUUGCAGUUGUUGGCUUUUUUCUUAUUUUUGGGUUAUGAUUGUUGAGGUGAAUGGUUAGCUUCAUACUUAUUAUCUUUGUUUCUAUUUUCGCAUUUCAGAUCACUUUUUUUCUCUUUUUUUCUGAACAAUAAAAGAUGCUAUUUCAUUAAAACUGUCAAUGUAUUUUGUUGUUUCUUUGUGCCUUUGUAAGUGACGAAGAUGCAUGACCUUCCACCAUUUUUUUUAGCUUAGCAGGAAGCUCUCCAUAAAUUCUGCUUUUACAUUUUUGUUAUAGAUUUUAUUGUAAAUGCAUAGAAAUAUUGUCAUAUAAAAUAACACUUAUCUAACCGAUAUCAAUUAUUUUCAUUCAAAUAUUUAAUUUUUAUUUCCUUAACACAAUCUAAUAAUAAAUAAAUAUAUUUAAAUAAUAUUUAAAACGCAUACCUAAAAGGCAUUAAAUAGCUUUGUCCUUUAAUAAGAUAUAUCAUGAAAAAAUAAGUUAAUUCAUGUUUUUGGUAUUUUUCUUCUUAAGUAAGAAUAAGAAUAAGCCUCCAUCUUUGUUUAUCUAAUUUCAAAACCACGAAGGGAUUUAGAGGCCCAAAUCCUAAAAAAAAAAAAAAAAACUAAAUAGGAAAAAAAAUAUAAAUCAACUAAUAAAAUAUCACAAGUCUAGAUAAUUUUUUUGGUUUUAUUUGAAAGUCUUGUUGAUUUUAAAUGAUUACAAAAUUCUAAUUUUAUAGAAAAUAAAGCUUUUAAAAUCUUCCAAUAAAAUUUUAGUUCGAUUAAGAUAAAAAAAAAAAAAAUUAUGCCCUUUACAAGAUUGCUUAUUUUUAAAAAUAUAUCAUAUAUCAAUCUUGUCUCGAAUUCAAAUUGUUGUUGCUUCAAUUUUGUAAGUAUCAAAUUAAAAAUCUCUAACCUUUUGCACGUGCUAGCAACAUAUUCCCAGCCUUCUCGGUAUUAAGAGUUCUUAUGGCAGCUUAUGGAAACUUUAUUGUCAUCAUCAAGGUUGUCAAUUUCGUUCCGUUCCGUCCGAAAUGGCCGAAACAUUCCAUACCAAUUUAAAAAACGAAACAAAACGAAACAAAUUCCAUCUCAUUUUAAAUCUCGGCCCGUUCCGGAAAUUCCGGCCGAAACGUUCCGGUUUCAUUCCGGUUGUUCCGUUUCGGCCAAAAAAUAUUAUUUUUAAAAAAUUAAUAUAUGGUUUAUAUUAUUUUAAGUUAAAGAUCUAUUUAAUCUUUACUAUUUAAAAAUAUUUUAAAUUUUAAAAUUAUAUUUGUUUGGCAUUAUGUUUGUAUUGCAUAAUUUAUAAUUAAUUUAUCUUGAAUUUGAAUUAUGUUUGUGGAAUAUAUAUAUAUAUAUAUAUAUAUAUAUAUAUAUAUAUAUAUAUAUAUAUAUAUGAACAGUACAACCCCGAAACGGCAUGCCGAAACACUCCGAAACCGAAACAUUUCGUUCCAAUUGAAAAAACAAAACACCUAUCGAAACGGAAUUGACAACCUUGGUCAUCAUACAACUUCGUUAGCAUAUUCAUAGGCAUUCACAGUUCUUCAAGAAUUCUCUUCAACCAUAACAUUUCACAAACUCCAUUUCCAUAACCUUAUAUUCUACUUAAGCGCUGCUUCUUACAAUCACAUUUUGUUUCUCUUCAGCUUUAUUUUGCCAAGUAACCAUAUUUCCCCAGAUUUAAGUAUAAUAUUCUAAUGUGCAUCUUCUAUCAAUGACUAAACCUGCCCAAUCUGUAUCAGUAUCAAGAUGUUUUGCAUGGGGUGAGUGUAACAAUCCCAAUAUUUGUAUUCAAAACAAAGAGGAAGGACAUGAUAAUUCAAUUAAGGUUAGGGAUUUUUAUUCUUUUUUGUAAUUAAUAAAAAUUUCAGUAGAAUUUCCUCUAUGUUUUUAGAUAUCAAGAUAUCGAUUCUUUUUCCGCAAUCCCCGUAAUCAAAUUUUUUACUCGUCUUAUCAUCCAGGACUGAUUGUGUAAACUAUUUUGUGUAAAGAUAGGUACAGUGAGCGCAUAAACCAACUUACUAAACUCACAAUAAAUGUAAUAUUAGAUCAUGUUUGUGAUAAGUAAAUCAGCUCUCCCACUAACUUUUGAUACUGUGUUGUCUUUGUUAAACUAAUUUAGAUCAAACAAAAAAAGGAGGUUAGAAUUCUGAAUAAACUGUAUAUUAUGAAUGCAUAGUCUUAACCUAAUUACAAAUAAAGUAUAUAUAGGUUAAACUGAAAGUACUAUUCUACCCUUAAUAAAUAAGACAACAUAAAUAUUAUUUAACAUCUCCCCUCAAACUCACGAUGCGGCAGCUACAAGCAUCGAGAGUUUGCCAACUAGAAAACGAAAACGAGAUAUGGAAUGCGCCUUGGUAAAGAAAUCUGCAAUUUGCAAUGAAGAAGGAACAAAAGGCAAAGUAAUGGUUCCAUGCUUGAGAUGAUGACGAGUAAGAUGACAAUCGAUUUCAAUGUGCUUAGUCCGCUCAUGAAAAACCGAGUUGUGAGCAAUCUGAAUAGAACUCUGGUUGUCACAAUACAUAGGAGUAGGAUGGGAAAAGGAAACUCUCAUAUCAGCAAGUAACCAACGUAACCAAAUAAUCUCUUUGGUAGUAGAUGCCAUGGCACGAUAUUCUGCUUCGGUGGAUGAUUGAGAAACAAUAGAUUGUUUCUUGCUCUUCCAAGAAAUAAGAGAAUCACCUAAAAAGAUACAAAACCCGGUAACAGACUUGCGAUCUGUGGGAUCACUACCAUGAUCAGCAUCAGAGUAUGCAUGCAACUCCAAGGAAGAGGUGGAUGAAAGUAAAAGACUUUGAAAAACUGUACCCCGAAGAUAUCGCAAAAUACGAAGAACAGCUGCCCAAUGAACAGUAGUAGGAGAAGCAACAAACUGACUAACAACAUGAACAACAUAUGCAAUAUCUGGACGAGUAAUGGUGAGAUAUACCAAACUCCCAACAAUAGUGCGGUAUAAAGUAGGAUCUAUCAAAGGUAAACCAUCAGAAAAAGAAUACCUUGUGUUAACCUCAAUAGGAGUAUCCACAGUCUUUAUCUUCCAGCGGACAGAAAGAAUAUUCUCCGUUGCCGUAUUGGGGGUGAGGGGUUUCCCCCUUUGCUUGCAUCGGACGGAGAGAAUAUUCCGCAUUGCAGUGGCUGUUGUGUCAGUGAAGAAUCAAAGGUAUUUUUGAAAUGUGCGGUUUGCGAUUUCAAGCUGGGUAUGAAAUGUGCUACACUGCCAUACAAAGCAAGACACGAGUAUGAUGACCAUCCUCUCUUCCUCACCUACAUUAAUGAAAAUGACUACCAGCCUUCCUGCAUAAUCUGUGAAAAGGAUAGAGACCCGAAGCUCUGGUUCUACCGUUGUGAGGAAUGCGACUUCGAUGCUCAUCCAGAAUGUGCUCUUGGGAAAUACCCAUACGUCAAGCUAGGGGUGGUUAUAACAUAUCCUAAACACCCUCACCCUCUUGCUUUGGUCGACAAGACAGAGGAUUAUCGUCCACAGGCAUGCGAUAUUUGUGGUGAACCUUGUGAUGGCUUAGCCGUUGAAUGUACUGAUCCUAACUGCAAUUUUAUCGCCCACAGGGAAAGAUGGAAAUGCUUUGACUCAUUACUAUAAUUGGAUUGCAUUUGUUGGCUUUUUUUCUUAUUCUUGGGUUAUGAUUGUUGGGGUGAAUGGUUAGCUUCAUACUUAUUAUCUCUGUUUCUAUUUUCGCUUAUCAGAUCACUUUUUUUUCUCUUUUUUUUACUGAACAAUAAAAGAUGCUAUUUCAUUAAAACUGUCAAUGUAGUUUGUUGUUUCUUUGUGCCUUCGUAAGUGACGAAGAUGUCUGACCUUCCACCAUUUUUUUCGCUUAGCAGGAAGCUCUCCAUAAAUUCUGCUUUUACAUUUUUGUUAUAGAUUUUAUUGUAAAUGCAUAAAAAUAUUUUCAUAAAAAAUAACACUUAUCUAAAUGAUAUCAAUUAUUUUCAUUCAAAUAUUUAAUUUUUAUUUCCUUAACACAAUCUAAUAAUAAAUAAAUGUAUUUAAAUAAUAUUUAAAACGAAGAUCUCAAGGGCAUUCCAUAGCUUUGUCCUUUAAUAAGAUAUCUCAUGAAAAAGUAAGUUAAUUUAUGUUUUUGGUAUUUUUCUUCUUAAGAAGAAUAAGAAUAAGAAUAAGAAUAAGCCUAUGUUUAUCUAAUUUCAAAACCACGAAGGGAUUUAGAGGCUCAAAUCCUAAAAAAAAAAAAAAAACUAAAUAGAAAAAAAAUUAUAAAUCAACUAAUAAAAUAUUAAGUCUAGAUAUUUUUUUUGUUUUAUUUGAAAGUCUUGUUGAUUUUAAAUGAUUACAAAAUUCUAAUUUUAUAGAAAAUAAAGCUUUUAAAAUUUUCUAAUAAAAUUUGAGUUGGAUUAAGAUAAAAAUAAAAAAAUUAUGCCCUUUACAAGAUUGCUUAUAUUUUAAAAAAUAUCAUAUAUUAAUCUUGUCUCGAAUUCAAAUUGUUGUUGCUUCAAUUUCGCAAGUAUCAAAUUAAAAAUCUCAAACCUUUUGCACGUGCGGGCAACAUUCCCAGCCUUCUUGGUAUUAAGAGUUCUUAUGGCAGCUUAUGACAGCUUUAUUGUCAUAAUACAACUUCGUUGGCAUAUUCAUCGGCAUUCACAGUUCUUCAAGAAUUCUCUUCAGCCAUAACAUUUCACAAACUCCAUUUUCAUAACCUUAUAUUCUACUUGAGCACUGCUUCUUCCAACCAUAUUUUGUUUCUUACUUUGCCAUGUAACCAUAGAUUUAAGUACAAUAUUCUAAUGUGGAUCUUCUAUCAAUGACUAAACCUGCCCAUUCUACAUCAGCUUCAAGAUGUUUUGCAUGGGGUGAAUGCAAACCCAGCAUUUGUAUUCCAAACAAAAAGCAAUAACAUGAUAAUUCAAUUAAGGUUAGGAAUUUUUUUUAAUAUAAUUAAUAAAAAUUUCAGCAGAGUUUUUUUAUAUUUUUAGAUAUCAAGAUAUUAACUUUUCUUCUAUAAUCCUCAAUAAUCAAAUUUUUUACUCGUUUUAUAAUUCAGGAUUGAUUGUGUAAAGAUAGAUAUAGUGAUCACAUAAAAUAUCUUACUAAACUCACAAUAAAUGUAAUAUUAGAUCAUGUUUGUGAUAAGUAAAUCAGCUCUCCCACUAACUUUUGAUACUGUGUUGUAUUCACACUAGAUCACCUUCCUUGUCAUCUUCAAGUUUCUGAUUGGGAUCUAUUGGAGUGUCUGCUAGCCUACAACCACUCAUCCCAGUCUCCUUAAGAACAUCAAGGACACACUGCUGCUGUUGGGAUAUAACGAUCCCCUUCUUCGACAGAACAAUCUCUAAUCCAAGAAAAUCCUUAAUCUCUAUUUCAAUGGCAUAUGGGUGAUUAUUAGAUUGAAAGGUUUUCCUUCUUUGAGAGCACCUUUUUUAAAGUGAAAUAAACACAACUUUCAGUUUAUACGUUGCUUGUAAGAAUAGCACAUAUGAGUAUGAUUUUGAGAUUUGAAAGAACUCCUUGUUUAAGAGGAAAUUGGACUUUGUCAUGUGAAAUGAACACCUUUUUAAUUUAUACCCUGCAGAAAAUGCAGAGGAUUUUAUACUGUGUUUAUUUAAAGUUGAUUGUCAGGCACAUCAACUUGCCCACACAGAUCAUCCAUUGAUUAAGAACGAAGAGCAAGAAUAUCAUGGUGAAGGAGUUAUGUGCUCUGUGCGUGAGGAGGCACUUGCACCCUCUUCACCUGCUGGCAAAGCCACCAUCUCAUUGCUCAAGAUGCGUUUGUGACAAGAGUUUUGUUCGCCAUUGUUGUUUCUGGGAAUUUGACGAUAUCAAAUGUGCUCUUCCACCGUGCAUUUUUGAACAUGAAGGUCAGGAACAUCUAAUUAUUUGUCUAGCAAAGUAGCUUCAGUUGAAGAUUGCCUGUCUCACUUGCAAAGCAUGUGGCACUGAUUUGUUGAAGAUUAUUACCAGCAGACGUCACAUCUGUUGCAUUUCUUCAUUCAGCUAACCCAGUCUCACAAAAUUUUCCCUGUGUUUAGAAAGUUUCACCAAAACAAUAAAGCUAAAAAUGUCAUUACAAUUUCCUAGUAGAUAUUCAACUUUGCUAUGAGUUUUCAAAACAUGAUAAAAAGAUUUCUAUUUUUUUAUUCUGUUCAAGCAACAUUGACAUGGCAAUAAGCUAGCAUUGCACUGUUAUGGAUCAUGGCGAUUUGAUUUGUUUUUCAAUUUACAAUUUAGUCAAAUUCAAAGAAAACUUACACACAAAAAAGGAAAUAACCUGUUCAAAAUCUAAUUAGAAAUAAACUUCAUUUUGAUAUAUGGAAACUGAUUAUAAUGAUAACAUGACCAUUGAAACCUAAAAACAUAAAUUUGUUAAUUAAGAAAUGCUAGGAAAACUUUUUUUUUUUUUACUAAUAUUUGUUUAUCAAUAGAAAUAAAAGGCAUCUAAAGUUUUUGCCGUUUACAAAAUUUUACAACACAUUGAGCCAUGAAAGUUGCCUGUUUUGGAAUGAGUCUAGAGAGGUCUUUGAAAUUGCAGUGAGACCUGAUUUAAAAAAAAAAACUUUAAUUUUAAAUUUAAUUUUUUAUAUUUUUAUAUACAUAUUGUAUCGGUAUUAUAAAUAAAUUUUAAAAAAUAUAUAAUAAAAAUUUUAAUCCAUUCAAAAAUAAUAAUAAUAAUAAUUACCACUAUCUUAUACCACAUCCACAUAGCAUCGGUUUUGCUUUGAAAACAACUUGGCGACUGAAUGGUGGUCUAGUUAAACGUAUUUUUCUAAUCAGUAAUUUUUCUUUUAAAAUCAAGACGGUUGGCAUGUACUUGUGCUUCGUUAUCUUAUUUAAUUUUUUAUUCUAUAGUAAAAGGUAUUUUUUUUAUUAGUUUAUAUGUCAAUCAUGAUUGAGUUUUUUAUUCAAAUGAUUUUAAGGAUAAACAAUUUAAAGUUAUGAAUCAUCGAACAAUCCAUUUAAAGUUAUAUAAUUAUGUUGUGAUGUAUCUUAAAUCAAAUAAAAAUUAUACUAGAUUAUUAACAUUUUUUAAUAAAUAUAAAAGAAAUAUUCAAACAUUACUAAUAUUUUUUAAAACAAAAAAAAAUUUAAAUAAUGUGAGGGUUAAUUUGAUAUAAUUUGGUUGAUUUUACAAGUUUACAAGUAAUCUAUAUAACCCGAAAAAACAUAAUUUGAUUAAAAAAAAUUUAAGAUGAUAUAUUUUUUUAAUAUUAAGAUAAAAAUAUAUUAAAUUAUUUUAUUAAAUUAAAUCUAAAAAAAGUGAGUUUUUUUAACAGAAGCAAGAAAAACAUUUUUUUGUAAUGAUUUAUGUGCACAUUAAAAUGUGUUUUAUAUACUUGAUUUGGUUCUUGAUCUAUAGUAAUGAACCGGCUUUAUUUAAAAAUUUCUCAAAAAAUAAAAUUGCGUUGAACAAAUUAAUAAAACUACGCUAUCUCUUCUUUUUUUAUAUAUAUUAAAUGAUUGGCUAAAGAUGAAAUAAAUAAUUUUAUAUUAUUUGUUUGUACGUAUUACUUUUAAGCGUAGACUCUUUUAUUUGGUGAUAUAUAUACGACUAACUUAAUUUGUUUUUCCUCGUGCACAUAUCGACAACCUUUUUCAAAUACCAAGAACAUGUCACUUCAAAGAAAUUUCCUGGUUGAUAAUGAACAGACAUAAGCAGUGCGUAAUAAUUUGACUGAAAAUAAAUGACAGCAGGGCAGGUUAAUUAGAUAUAGUGUACUAAUCAUUAAUUAAAUUUAUUUUAAUCAUUGACUACAUAUCUUAAGUAUUAACUGAACAUAUAAUUUCUUUUAAAAAAUAUCAAAAACAUUAAACUGGACUCAUUCUUCCUAGAUAUUGGGCAGGUUAAUUAGAUAUAGUGUACCAACUAUUAAUUAAAUUUAUUUAAAUCAUUGACUACAAAUUCUAAGUAAUACCUGAUCAAAUAUUUUUUUUUUUUUUUAAAAAAAGAAUCAUAAACAUUAAACUGGACUCAUUCUUCCUAGAGUCAGAAAAAAAAAAGUACACAUAUAAACAGAAUUAGAUUUGAAGAUGACGAGAGAGCAACCUCUUAACCACGAGAAUAAUUGAUUAAGGAAAGGAACAAUGAAGAGAACUUCGGAAUCAAAUAUAAUUAGAAUCAAAUAUUUUUAUAAACUCAAUUCUAUAUUGGAAACCAAUAUUAUUCCUUGAUUUAAAUUCAUGCAUGCCUCCUUUUGUUCUUCAAAGUAAAUAACACAGAAACCUCAAACCUGGUAUUCUCUCAACAUGUACAUCACUAUGCUGUCAUCCUAUACAUAUGUCAUAAAGGUUAAUUCCAAUAAUUAAAAGGUUGUGAAAUUGGUGCAAAACCCUACCUCUAAUGUUUUUUUAUUUCCUUGAAGGGGAAAAAAGGUUGAAUGCGAUUUUCUCUCUUAUAAUGCAUUAAUUCUUCCUCCACACAUGUCAUGGCCAUGGAAAAAUUAAUUUGGAAAAGUUGGUUUUUCAGAUUUGACUGUUCCUCCUUGGAGAAUAUGGACGCAAAAUCCAAUUUGUUUUUGGAUAAAUGCUUCCCUUUUCAACCAUGCAAAUAGCAAAAGUACAUGGUCUUUUAGGUUCGGCGUGAUAGUUACUUGGUCAAACCGAGGAAUAUAUGGGCUCAUUCUUAUGAGAAAGAUAAAGUAGAAAAGAUAUGCUCCUUUUCAGCUUCUCAGAAAUUAAACAUGCACUGAAAGGGUAACCAUGACAACUGACCAAUCCGCCUGCAAGGAAACCGCUCCAAUCUUCCCCAUGUGAGAAUUUCUUCUGCAGAGUUCAAAGUAUUCAUUUCUGCAGUGAAUUCAUGAUCAGAGCAGAGUUUUUCUUGGUGAACGUACAAGUCAGCUGUGCCUUUUUUUCUCUGGAGGAAAUUGAUGAAUAUUAGCCCAAUGAUGCCCGUACCAAUGAAGUUUCCUUGAUAUUUGAUACCCUCAAGGCCAGACGAACACUGCAAGCACACUAAAGUACAAGAACAAAUUGCAGUAAGAAAAACAAAGUAGAUUCUAUUAUCAUUUUCAUUGACUAUGGAUUUAGCUAUGGAAGUUUCAAUGGAUGACUAACUUGCGUGGAUCGAUGGUUAUUGAAUAUGAUCAAGAGGCGUGAGCAAGAUAUACAGCUAAUUAGACUUGUUCUUCAUGGAAUUUGCAAGAUCUCAUAAAUUUUGUUUAAUUUAAUAGCAAAGGAAAAUCUGCAGGAGGAUCAGAAGUGGGACUGCAAGACACGACGAUUAUAUGUAGACAAAUAUGCUCAUCAAAUCCAAUACAUACAAGCGUAAUUAAGCAGAGUACUAUUGUAUAGAUUUGAUGACAACUGCGUAAUAUUGGUCAACCAAAUAUUAUUCAGAUUGAUAUUAACUUCCCUGUUGUGAUAUCUACUAUUCUACAGUUCUAAGUUUUCCAAGAGAAAAAAUAUAAGAUCAGAAAAUACAAGGAAAUUUACUCCCUUAUAGAAGUCCUAACAUUUUUUUCUAAUUUAAGCUGACAUGAACCUGUCUUUUGUAUAUCCUCCACUUCUCAUUCAUUUGGCUUCAAACUUGCCAGAAAGUUGCACAAAAUUAACUACAGUUCUAACUUCUCAUUCUUUGGAGAGUUACUUUUGGCGAGAUGCGCUUUCCCUUGGUAGCCCCAUCCGUAAUUCUAGCUGUCCUCUGGGCUCUUGCUCUAGUACAGAGCCUUGAUUUUCAGUUUCCAAACUUCACGGAUUUAGAUAGAAAUCGACUUUUUUUGAGUACCAAUUCUAAUAUAGCCUCGAGAGCCAUCCAAGUCACACUAGAUAUUAAUGGAGCUCCAAUUUAUAACUUGUCUGGAAGGGUCAUGUACAAAUGGCCAUUCAGACUGUGGAGCAACGGAGGGAAGAAUGCAUCUUUCAAUACAACCUUCGUACUCAAUAUCAAAAACCAGACAGCUUCAAGUGGUGAAGGCUUAGCUUUUAUAUUAACAGCAGAUCCUGAUGUUCCAGUUGGAAGUGAAGGACAAUGGAUGGGAAUCGUAAAUUCCACGUUAAAUGGAUCCAUUGAAGCCAGGACAGUGGCAGUAGAAUUUGACACCAGAAAAAGUCAAUAAAAAACAAAAUACCAAAAACAACCCGAGUUAACUUUGGGUUAAUCCGUUAAGUAUUAUUUUCCGAUCAUGAAAACAAGACACCCUAGUAAAAAAUAAACCAAAAUAAAUUAUGAAGUUUAAUUCCUAAUAAAAGAUAAAAUUAGGGAAUAGGACAAUUAAGAAAAGAAAAAAAACCAAGUCAACCGGGUUAACUUGUCAAUCCCACGACCCAGGUAAUGAGAUUUGGACAAUUCAAUAAAAAAAAUUCAAUAUUAAAAAAUUUGUGACCUGGAUAAUGAGACCGGGAUAAUCUCAAAGAAAAAAAAUAGAAACAAUAACUCUAUUUUAAACCUAGUUAGUUUGUCAAAUCUAGAAUUUUUAUCAUCAUAAGAUAAGGAUAAUACUAAAAAAAAACAAAUAAAAAAGAAUUAUAAAAUUUAUUUUCUAACUGAUCCAUUGAAUGAGAAAAUUUAAAAAUUUAAAAAAACUAUAGAAAAUCUUUGUUUUACUUUCUUAAUACAUUCUACUUUACGAAACAAGGAGAAAGGAAAAAGAAAAAGGAUAAACGAAGAAAUUACUUGGUAGAGAUAACCAAGAAAUAGGUUUAUCAAGGGAAGAACCUAAUUUUUGUUCUAAAUAAACUUCGUGAAGCCACUGUUUCGAAUCACUAUGGCUUGUGAGAGGAUUUGUUGUGUAUUCGCAAAGUGUUUCCUUUUUUUUUUCCUCAUUAAUUUUUUUGGUUACUUUUUUUUUUCAUUUCAAUAUUUACACAUUUAAUUAAUUUAGAAUUGAAUUUCAUGAUAUAUAUAUAUAUAUAUAUAUAUAUAUAUAUAUUUUAUUUUUUUUCUUUUUUCUUUUUCGAGUCUUCAUGGUCUUUUAAAAAAUCAUGGCAUUAACUUUGUUUUUAAUUUUACAAAGAAGAAUUGAUCAGAAGCUUAAACCCCCUCUUGGAUCAAGUGGAGGAAUGCUCAAGUAAAGAUGAAAUAAAGAGAAAAACGAUGUCCUUUGUUCUUCCAUAACUACAUGAUUAUCUUACAAUUGUUUUUUUUUCUGACAGGUAGGGAUAAAUCUCCGUUUAUAAUGGUGAUAAAUAAGAGUGAGUAAUAAAACAUCCAAUACUUUCAGACAUAAGCAUGAUCAAGCAAACAGAUGAAUAAUCAAGAACAUAGUUAAUAAUUCUCCAGGAAAGAACAUCUCAGACCACUUUCAUAAGCACAGAGGUUAUGCAAUGCUUCAAUCUUCAGUGCAAAUUGCAACAAUAUCUCACACCCUACCUGCUCCUAACUUAGUGUAUUAUAUAUGAAGGUUGCAUUUGGCUGGUUUGUAGUGUUUUCUGUUAGAUGAAUUCACAAAUGACAUGUUGGUAGGGUGGAUUGCUCCUUCACUUGCAAUGCAUGCGGCACAGAUGGAGAUGACUCCCCUUUCAUGUGCACCAUGUGCCAAUUCGUGGUCCCCGAAGAAUGCAUUUCAUUGCCACACACCCUUAAAACUGCACUGCACCAUCAUCCCCGAAUCAUCCACACCUAUAAUCCUCAACAGUGCAUCGAAUUUAUAAACAAGUACUGUGGAAUUUGCCGUCGGGAAGUUGACUAGAAUACGGAGUUUACUAUUGCCCAGACUGUGACUUUGUUGCACACGUGAAUUGUAGCAGAGAAUAUGGCGAUUCUGCAACAGAGACUGCAGGACAAACCCAAGAAGGGCAAAGUGUGACUGUUGAUGACCAAUUCAUGGAACCUAGCUUUCGCGUUGUCCGUGAGAUCAACCAUGGAGAGGAAAGAAUAUUCUCCGUUGCAGCAGUGGAAGUCGCGGGUUUCCCCUUUUGGUUGCAGAUGACAGAGAGAUUAUUCCCCCUUGCAGUGGCUGUUGUGUCCCUGAAGAAUCAGAGGUAUUUUUUAAAUGUGUGGUUUGCGAUUUCAAGUUGGGUAUGAAAUGUGCUACACUGCCAUACAAAGCAGGACACGAGUAUGAUGACCAUCCUCUCUUCCUCACCUACAUUAAUGAAAAUGACUACCAACCUUCCUGUAUAAUUUGUGAAGAAGAUAGAGACCCUAAGCUCUGGUUCUACCGUUGUGAGGAAUGCGACUUCGAUGCUCAUCCAGAAUGUGCUCUCGGGAUAUACCCAUAUGUCAAGCGAGGGGUGGUUCUAACAUAUCCUAAACACCCUCACCCUCUUGCUUUGGCAGACAAGAUAGAGGAUUAUCCUAACUGCAGUUUUAUCGUCCACGAGGGAAGAAGAAGCAUUUAUUAAAAAAUCAAAUGAAAAAAAGAAAGAAAGAAAAAAAAGCACUACGAAAAAAAGAAAAAAAAGACACUAAAGUGCUUUGUUUAGAUGCCCCUUUAAAAGAAUACCUUGCCGCAGGUACUUUGCCUUAAUUUUUUCGGAGUUGAUCAAUAGAUAUUACUUCUAACAUUCUCUGAAGAAAAUCUUCGUUUUACUUUCUUAAUACAUUUUACUUUAGGAAAUAAGGAGAAAGGAAAAAUAAAAAGGACAAACGAGAAAUUACUUGGUAGCGAUAACCAAAAAAUAGGUUUAUCAAGGGAAGGACCUAAUUUUCUGUUCUAGAUAAACAUCAUGGAGCCGCUGUUUCGAAUUUUAACUUAUACAAACAAAUCCAAACCACGUAUAAAAUAACAUCACGUAUAAAAAAUUAAUUUAAAUAAAAAAAAUAUUGUUUUAAAAACAUUUUUAAAACAUAAAACAAAUAAGUUGUGAGUUUGAAUUAAAAAUACUUCUAUUUGAUAUGGUCUUUUCAGAAUAUUAUUUUAUUUUUAUUUUUACAAAAAUAAAUCAAUUUUGUUGUGAGAGAAAAAAAAAUCAAGGGGGUCAAAAUUAAAAGUUUAAUGAAAUAAUAGCCUUUUAAAGAAAAAAUAGGUGUCAAAGCCUUUUAAACUUAAAAUUUGAUCCAAUAUUAGUUUUGAUCCCUUCAACUUCGAAAUUAUACUAUUUGAUACAAAAUUUAUCUUAUUUACAUUUUAGUCCUUAAAUUUGAAAAAAAAAGAGUAAAAGUUACUAGAUUACAAUGAAUGAAAAAGAAAGUUAUUGUUAAUCACAUUCUAACAACCAAAAAAAAUUGUUCUUGGUGUCCAUUAGAAUCACUUUGUGUAAGUCAAUUCUAGCUAUUGUUCCUUAUAUCCUAUGCAAUCGAGUUUAUUACCUAAAUCAAUUUGCUUUGAAAUUGAAACAAUUUGCUAGAGGAUUUAUUUGGGGGGACAACAUUGAGGCUAGACGAACUCAUCUUGUUAACUAGAAAACUCUUUGCCAAUCAAAAGAUGAGGGAGGUCUGGGGCUGAGAUGAAUGUAUUUUAUGAACCGAGCUUUCAUAAUUAAUGUCGCACGUCACCCGCGCAGCUUCAGCUUAGCGAUUUUUCUCUUUUGUUGCUUUGAUUCGUUGGGAGUCGCCACCUAGUAUUUAAUUGAGAGCUACUAGGAAACCCGGGUGUACUGAUCUUGUUAGAGAUUCACGAGUAAGGGACUGAUUGUGGUUAGGGAAGAUAUUAGCACCCCUAACACACCCUACUUGAGGUAAGCUGCUUCGUGGCUUUGAUGUGUUAAAGAAGUUUUAAUAAUUAUCUUUUCAUCGGAUAUUAGAAAUACGACUUACGUGUAAGUUCAUAAUUCUUGACCAUGAGCAAAUCAAAGUAUUAAAUUCUUCUUUAUUCUUUGCAAUUUUAUCAUAAAUAAAAAGAAACAUCCAUAAAACAAAUACAAACACACAAAUACACUUUCACUAUAUGUUUUUCUUUUCUUUUUCCUUUUUUUGCUUCCACAUUUACAAAUUAUAAAAAAUCAAAACUAAACAAAUAUUGCAUUAAACAAUUUGAAAAUUACAAAAUGACCCAAAACAACCCAGAACAGUGUUAGGCCGACUUCUGGAGCUACCGGAACAGUGGCGUUGUGUUGUUUCAUGCACCACCGCCAUUAGCGGCGUGUGGAUUCACACACCUCUGCCAAUGACGAUGGCAAGACCGAUGGAUUGUGAACGUCUUAUUCUUCUCUGUUUCCCUACAUCGGCGGUGACCUGCAGCAACAACAAAACCGCAACAACCAGUUGAUUUUAGUUUUUAUUUCCUUUGUUUUUUUGAAAUCUGCUUCGGUUUUUUCUUUUUAGAUCUGCCCUGUUUCUCUGCCUCCCUUCUCUGUUUGUUUCUCUUCUACCGAAGACCGAUCUGAUGGUUGCUUUCGUCCGCAAGGCUUGUGGAUCUCCGAUGAGGAUGGCGUUGCUGUAGCUAUUGGUGAAGGAGAUCAAUGGAGGCUCAGCAGAGAGAGAGGGGUGUCGCUAUUGAAGGCAGUGAGCUGGGUCAGCUGAGGACCGGUUGAAAGAUAUGAGUGGUCUUGGCUAGUCUAUGGUCGUUGCUGUUGAAGAGACCGAAGAUGAAGAAGACGCUGCUGAGAGAAAGAUUGGUCUGGUCUGUCGGUUCAAAGGGGAGGAAAUGCAGAUGUCAAGGAAAUGGGGGUAGUGCAGAUGCGGUCUGCCCUUUUAUUUCUUUGGUUUUUUUUUUUUUUUUAAAGGAUGGGGGAGAUGGACGGUUAAGGAGGUGGAGUGGAAGAACGAUGGAGAGGGGAAAUAGGGGUUGGUGUGCCGGACGUGGGGAGAAGAAGAUGGUGAGCGGCAGCUUAGGAGAGAAAAUGAAAAGCCACUGGUGGGGUUGCGGCUAUGUUUUGGGUAGAGGUGGAUUUUAGGGUUAGGUUUCCUUUUUUUUUUUUUUUGUAUUUUUCUUUCAAAAUUGCCCCCCUCACUUUUUGUGAGCAUUGAAGGCUAUUAUUUAUAGGUAAAAUGUUGUUUAGGCCUCAAAAUUAGUCCUUCAACUUUCUUUUUGUAAAUUUUAAUUUUUCUUGUCUUUUUUUGUAUUUUUUUGAAAACGAGCAAUAUCAAAGUCAACUCAAUGAAGAAAAUCAAUGAUUUUAAAAAUGACGCGUGAAAAGUUGAACGCACUCGAAAGACCCUUGAAAAUUUUAAAUUUUUUUUUAGACGAUAUUGAAAAUGCUAAAAAUAAUGCAAAUAUAUUAAAAAUAUUUUUUUGGAUUUUCGUUGUUUUUCACUAUUUUUGAAUUUUUCAAAAAUUUUAUAAAAAAUAUAGGUCAAAAAUUGGAUAACAACAAUUAAGAUGGGAUGGGGUAUCAUUAACAAUAAUAAUAGUCUAUAGGCUUCAAUUCUCAGAAGUAAGUAUGUCAGAUCUAGUGAUAACAUUCUCCUAUUUGGAAUGUGAUAUGCAAGGAAUGGUCUCAUGUGAUUAAAGGCAUUUCAUGGGCUACUAGCAAUGGAGAAAAUGUCAAGUAUUAGGAAGAUAAGUGGUUGGAUGGCUUUGGUUCUCUUGCUAGAUAUGCGACUUAGGAUCUAUCUGAGGAACUGUUCAAUAAGUCGGUGGUAAAAAUAGUUUCAGUAAUAAUCAGUGUAGAUGGGAUACUUUUCCACACCUCUUGCCAAUGAAUAUUGUGAUGACUCUAGCUAGCUAUCACCCUUCUAAUAAGGAGUCAAAUAAGGACCAUCUCUUUUGUAACCUUUCAAUGAAUGGUGGGUUCACUAUUAAAUCAGCUUAUUUCUCUCUUAUUAACUCUUGUGAUAACCAAACCCAUUUGAAGCCUUUAUGACAUUUUGUUUGGAGAUAGAGAGGUCCCAAAAGAAUUAGAUCUUUCCUUUAGCUUCUUGUCUAUAACAAAGCAAUGACUAAUGAGAUUAGGUAUAAAAGACAUAUGAGUGGUUCCUUUAAUUGUCAUUGUGGUAGUAGUGAUAUUGAUACUAUUUUGCAUGUGUUAAGGGACUGCAAAUGGGCCUAUGAAGUGUGGCUGAAAAUCUUGCAUCCAUGUGAUAUUGAUGGUUUUUUUGUUGUGGAUUUACAUGUAUGAUUGCUAUCAAAUUUGUCAAGCAUAGUUAAAACGAAGAAAGGUUGGCUUGGUCUUUGGGCUUUUGCAAGAUUAUUUUGGAAUUUGAUUCUUUAGUUAUGGUGGGUGUACUCUUGAAAUAGACCAUGAAAGUUGAUGCUAACUUUGCCUUGGUUAACAGAGCUUAUGAAGCACUAAAAAGAGAUUAGGUAAUCCAAAUACAACAUUCUUACACAGAGGCAAAUGCUACUGUUGAUAGGCUCGCUAACUUUGGGUUUUCCAGGCAUCCACUUUCUAAGGAGGAUUUGACUAUUAAUAACACUCUAGAGAGCUUGUAUUGGUUUUAUUUUAUGACUUGAUUGGAACGAUAUUCCCUCAAGUAAUUUAAUUUUAGGCUUUAGUCCUGAUUUAUACCAAAACAUAUUAAAAAAAAAUACUUUAAAAAGAACAACUACUACACUACCAAAUAUUCCUUUAUACCCAUGGACAAAUAAUAAUGUAUUUGUUUCUCAUUUAUAGAUUAUUAAGUGUAGUUAACAUACUUAAAUUUAUUAAUUUAAACAGUAUGUUACGAUAAAAAUAUCAUUUUAAGGUUUAACUAUGUUUUUAAAUAUAGUAAUUGUUGAUUUAUGAUUUUAAUAAUUAAAGGAUUUUACCAAUAGAUUUUAAGUUUAGGUACCUCUAAUGUAAAAUACUUACAUCCAUAGGCAAAUGAGUAAUAUAGAAAGCUGAGGAAACCUAACUAAAAUCAACGAGUCUUUAACAACUACCUUCGUAUACAGUUAAAGUUGAGUAAUAUAGGUCGCAACUUGGAUAACAGAUCAUCUUUUUAAAAAAAAUUAUAAUAUUUUAAAAAAAAAAAAUGCAUAACAUAUCAUCCUUUUAAAAAAAAUUACUUUAGUCCAUCUCUUUUCAUUAUAAAAUAUAGAAGUCCAAAGGCAAUAGUUUAUGUAACGGAUGAUAAAGGAUGCUUAUGAGUUGGCUUUUUCAAAAUAAAAUGGUAAUUUCUUCUACAUUUAUAGAGCCUAUUUAUUUUUAUAUUUUGAAAAUAUUUUUUAAAAAUAAUAUUUUAUUUUUUUAUUUUUAAACUGUUUUGAUGUAUUGUCAAAAUUAAUUUUAAAACACUAAAAAAAUAUUAUUUUAAUAUAUUUAAAAAAUACUUUAAAAAUUAAAUAGUACUAUACCAUCCUCUUAUACCCAUGAAUAAAUAAUAAAUUAUAUAUUUAUUUCUCAUUUAUAGAUUUAGUUAACAUACUUAAAUUUAUUAAUUUAAACAGUAUGUUAUGAUGAAAAAAAUAUCAUUUUAAGAUUUAAUUAAGAUUUUUAAAAUAUAUAUACAAGUACUUGUUGAUUUAUGAUUUUAAUAAUUAAAGGAUUUUACCAAUUGAUUUUUAACGUUUAGGUACCUCAAAUGUAAAAUACUUUACACCCAUGGGCAAAUGAGUAAUAUAAGAAGUUGAGGAAACCCAACCAAAGUCAACGAGUCUUCUUCUCCAACAAGAAAAGACAUGGGAAAGUGUCUUCUUACUCACAUACUUGAACAAUCUCAUCCUCACAAAUAGACGAGCCUGUAGCUUUCCUCGUGAUCUUCUACCCGCCUCUUCCUUACAGGUAACACCCUUCCUUCCUUUUUGGACUUCUUGGAAUAUUUUUCGUUUCGGCUCUCUGUCCCAUAAUCUUUGAUAAAGAGGAAAAUGAAACAAAAAAUUGAUUGGUAUCCGAUCUUAAUGGGAAAUCACAGUGUUCUGGAUCUUGUUGGUUGAUCUGUAAUGUAGCAGUAAGCAGCUGUAAUUAUUUAAUUAGCCGUCGGUGAAGAGGUCAAGUUUCAGUUCAGAAGGUGAGGUAUUGAAUUCUAGUAGCACUCAACUUUUAUUUGCCUUUCCAUUUCGUUAACAUAUAUAUUCGGCAGCUUCAAUCUGGCCUACCUAAGUCUUACCUUCUCUCAACAACCCUCAUUUCCUGCUCUGUCCUCUGAGAGAGCCAGAGACAUGGAGGUUGAACAUUUUAGCCACCCAGAUCAUCCAUUGAUCCUCAUUAAUCAAGUUCUCGAGUAUAGUUGUGAAUUAGUUAUUUGCUCUGGAUGCGAGGGACCUAUAUGGGGUCCUUGCUACAGUUGCACCUCUUGCUACUUCUUUCUUCAUAAGACAUGCGCCGAGCUGCCCCGUGAGAUCAAGCGGCGCAUUCAUCGUAGACACCCUCUCCAUCUACUAGCAAAGUCACCAUAUAAAGGAAAAUACCGUUGUAAUCGGUGCGCCAAAAGUUUCAACUGUUUUGUUUACCAUUGCUCUUUCUGUAAGUUUGAUCUUGAUAUCAAAUGUGCUUUUCAACCGGGUUUUUUGGAAGUUGAUAGUCAGGCACAUCAAGUUGCCCACAAGGAUCAUCCAUUGAUUUUGAAUGAAGAGCAAGAAUAUCAUGGUGAAGGAGUUAUGUGCUCUGUGUGCAAGGAACCAAUGUCUGGUCCUAGCUAUAGUUGCACUUCUUGCAACGUCUUUCUUCACAAGAAGUGUGCUGAGCUACCCCCAGAGAUCAAGAGGCAAAUUCAUCCAGAACACCCUCUUCGUCUACUGCCAAAUCAUCAUUUGAUCUGCGGAUUUUGCAACGAAACUUGCUAUGAGAGUUUUGUUUACUGCUGUUUUGUGUGCGAAUUCAACCUCCAUAUCAAAUGUGCUUUUCCACCUUGCGUUUAUGCAGCUGAUCAGGAUCAGGGGCAUCAAUUUAGAAGCCUGCUGAAUCCACGUUCAUUCAAAUCAAUCUCCUUCACUUGCAAUGCAUGCGGCACAGAUGGAUAUGGCUCCCCAUUCAUGUGCACCAUGUGCCAACUCGUGGUCCACGAAGAAUGCAUUUCAUUGCCAGGCACCCUUAAAACGGCACUGCACCAUCAUCCCCGAAUCAUCCACACAUAUCAACUUCAACAAUGCAUCGAAUCUAUAAACAAGGACUGUGGAAUUUGUUAUCGGGAAGUUGACACAGAAUACGGAGUUUACUAUUGCCCAGACUGUGACUUUGUUGCACACGUGAAUUGUAGCAGAGAAUAUGGCGAUUCUGCAACAGAGACUGCUGGAGAAAACGAAGAAGAGCAAAGUGUGACUGUUGAUGAUCAAUUCAUGGAACCUAGCUUUCGCGUUGUCCGUGAGAUCAAGCAUGGAGAGGAGAGAAUAAUUGAAGAGAUCGAGCAUUUCAGUCAUCAACAUAAUCUAAUCCUUACUGACAAGGUUGAUUAUGAUCUGAAGUGUGAUGGGUGCAUGUUACCAAUCUCAACUUCAUUUUACAGUUGUGUCAGUUGUAAUUUCUUUCUUGACAAAACCUGCAUGGAAUUACCCAGGCGAAAAAAGUGGCAAUAUCACGAAAACCAACUGAUUCUUUCAUGGAGCCUAGAGGUACAUUAUCUGGACUACUGCUAUGUGUGUAAUCAAAAUUUUCGUGGGCUCAUGUACACAUGUGAUAUGUGUGGACUCCGGAUUGAUGUCCGAUGUUUCAAAUCAAUAUUGAAAGAUUGUUUUAAACAUGGAGGUCAUGAGCAUCCCCUUUAUCUUCCAGCGGACAGAAAGAAUAUUCUCCGUUGCAAUAUUGAAGGUCACUGGCCUCCCCCUUUGCUUACAGAUGACAGAGGGAAUAUUCCGCAUUGCAGUGGCUGUUGUGUCCCUGAAGAAUCAAAGGUAUUUUUGAAAUGUGCGGUCUGCGAUUUCAAGCUGGGUAUGAAAUGUGCUACACUGCCAUACAAAGCAAGACACGAGUAUGAUGACCAUCCUCUCCUCCUCACCUACAUUAAUGAAAAUGACUACCAGCCUUCCUGCAUAAUUUGUGAAAAAGAUAGAGACCCGAAGCUCUGGUUCUACCGUUGUGAGGAAUGCGACUUCGAUGCUCAUCCAGAAUGUGCUCUCGGGAGAUACCCAUAUUUCAAGCCAGGGUGGGUUCACACAUAUCCUAAACACCCUCACCCUCUUGCUUUGGUCGUCAAGACAGAGGAUUAUCGUCCGCAGGCAUGCGAUACUUGUGGUGAGCCUUGCGAUGACUUGGCCCUUGAAUGUACUGAUCCUAACUGCAGUUUUAUCGUCCACAGGAAAAGAGUGCAAUGCUGGGUGUCAUUAUGGUAAUUGGAUUGUUGGCUAAACUUGUGGCGUAGCCCUAUUCCACUGUGAAUGGUUAGCUUCAUACUCAUUAUCUCUGUUUCUAUUUUCGCAUAUCAGAUCACUCUUUUGUUUCUCUGUUUUUUUCUGAACAAUAAAAGAUGCUAUUUUUUUCUGAACAAUAUUGUUCAGAUGUUAUUUCAUCUUCAAUCAUAUUCUAUUAAAACUGUGAAGGUAGUUUGUUGUUUCUUUGAGCCUUCGUAGUGACAAAGAUGUCUGACCUUCCACCAUUUUUUUAGCGUAGCAGGAAGUUCUCCAUAAAUUCUGCUUUUACAUUUUUUUUAUAGAUUUUAUUGUAAAUGCAUAGAAAAUAUAAAAUAACACUUAUCUAACUGAUAUCAAGUAUUUUCAUUCAAAUAUUUAAUUUUUAUUUCCUUAACACAAUCUAAUAAUAAAUAAAUGUAUUUAAACGAAUACCUCAAGGGCAUUCGAUAGCUUUGUCCUUUAAUAAGAUAUAUCAUGAAAAAAUAAGUUAAUUCAUGUUUUUGGUAUUUUUCUUCUUAAGAAGAAUAAGAAUAAGCCUCCAUCUUUGUUUAUCUAAUUUCAAAACCACGAAGGGAUUUAGAGGCCCAAAUCCUAAAAAAAAAAACUAAAAAUGUGUUUAUUUAAAUUUGAUUGUCAGGCACAUCAACUUGCCCACUUAGAUCAUCCAUUGAUUAUGAACGAAGAGCAAGAAUAUCAUGGUGAAGGAGUUAUGUGCUCUGUGUGCGAGGAGGAAUGUCGGGUCCUAGCGAUUGUCGCACUUUUAGCAAAUUCUUUCUUCAGAAGAAGUGUGCUGAGCUACCCCUGGAGAUCAAGCGGCACUUGCACCCUCUUCACCUGCUGGCAAAGCCACCAUCUCAUUGCUCAAGAUGCGUUUGUGACAAGAGUUUUGUUCGCCAUUGUUGUUUCUGGGAAUUUGACGAUAUCAAAUGUGCUCUUCCACCGUGCAUUUUUGAACAUGAAGGUCAGGAACAUCUAAUUAUUUGUCUAGCAAAGUAGCUUCAGUUGAAGAUUGCCUGUCUCACUUGCAAAGCAUGUGGCACUGAUUUGUUGAAGAUUAUUACCAGCAGACGUCACAUCUGUUGCAUUUCUUCAUUCAGCUAACCCAGUCUCACAAAAUUUUCCCUGUGUUUAGAAAGUUUCACCAAAACAAUAAAGCUAAAAAUGUCAUUACAAUUUCCUAGUAGAUAUUCAACUUUGCUAUGAGUUUUCAAAACAUGAUAAAAAGAUUUCUAUUUUUUUAUUCUGUUCAAGCAACAUUGACAUGGCAAUAAGCUAGCAUUGCACUGUUAUGGAUCAUGGCGAUUUGAUUUGUUUUUCAAUUUACAAUUUAGUCAAAUUCAAAGAAAACUUACACACAAAAAAGGAAAUAACCUGUUCAAAAUCUAAUUAGAAAUAAACUUCAUUUUGAUAUAUGGAAACUGAUUAUAAUGAUAACAUGACCAUUGAAACCUAAAAACAUAAAUUUGUUAAUUAAGAAAUGCUAGGAAAACUGUUUUUUUUUUUACUAAUAUUUGUUUAUCAAUAGAAAUAAAAGGCAUCUAUUUGAAGAUGUCACCUAUAUGAUUUAAUGUUAUUUUAGUUUUUGCCGUUUACAAAAUUUUACAGCACAUUAAGCUAUGAAAGUUACCCGUUUUGGAAUGAGUCUAGAGGGAUCUUUAAUUUUAAAUUUAAUUUUUUAUAUUUUUAUAUACAUAUUGUAUAUUGUAUCGGUAUCAUAAAUAAAUUUUAAAAAAUAUAUAAUAAAAAUUUUAAUCCAUUCAAAAAUAAUAAUAAUAAUUAGUACUAUCUUAUACCGCAUCCACAUAGCAUCGGUUUUGCUUUGAAAACAACUUGGCGACUGAAUGGUGGUCUAGUUAAACGUAUUUUUCUAAUCAGUGAUUUUUCUUUUAAAAUCAAGACGGUUGGCAUGAACUUGUGCUUCGUUUUCUUAUUUAUUUUUUUAUUCUAUAGUAAAAGGUAUUUUUUUAUUAGUUUAUAUGUUAAUCAUGAUUGAGUUUUUUAUUCAAAUGAUUUUAAAGAUAAAUAAUUUAAAGUUAUGAAUCAUCGAACAAUCCAUUUAAAGUUAUAUAAUUAUGUUGUGAUGUAUCUUAAAUCAAAUAGAAAUUAUACUAGAUUAUUAACAUUUUUUAAUAAAUAUAAAAGAAAUAUUCAAACAUUAAUAUUGUUUUUAACAAAAAAAAAUAUAAAUAAUGUGAGAGUUAAUUUGAUAUAAUUUGGUUGAAUUUACAAGUUUACAAGUAACCUAUAUAACCCGAAAAAACAUAAUUGGAUUAAAAACAAUUUUAAGAUGAUAUAUUUUUUUAAUAUUAAGAUAAAAAUAUAUUUAAAUAUUUUAUUAAAUUAAAUCCAAAAAAAAGUGAGUUUUUUUUAAUAGAAGCAAGAAAAACAUUUUUUUGUAAUGAUUUAUAUGCACAUUAAAAUGUGUUUUAUAUACUUGAUUUGGUUCUUGAUCUAUAGUAAUGAACCGGCUUUAUUUAAAAAUUUCUCAAAAAAUAAAAUUGCGUUGAACAAAUUAAUAAAACUACUUUAUCUCUUCUUUUUUAUAUAUAUAUUAAAUGAUUGGCUAAAGAUGAAAUAAAUAAUUUUAUAUUAUUUGUUUGUACGUAUUACUUUUAAGCGUAGACUCUUUUAUUUGGUGAUAUAUAUACGACUAACUUAAUUUGUUUUUACUCGUGCACAUAUCGACGACCUUUUUCAAAUUCCAAGAACAUGUCACUUCAAAGAAAUUUCCUGGUUGAUAAUGAACAGACAUAAGCAGUGCGUAAUAAUUUGACUGAAAAUAAAUGACAGCAGGGCAGGUUAAUUAGAUAUAGUGAACUAAUCAUUAAUUAAAUUUAUUUAAAUCAUUGAACACAUAUCUUAAGUAUUAACUGAACAUAUAAUUUUUUUAAAAAAAUAUCAAAAACAUUAAACUGGACUCAUUCAUCCUAGAGCCAGAAAAAAAUAUAUAUACAGAAUUAGAUAUAGGGCAGGUUAAUUAGAUAUAGUGUACCAACCAUUAAUUAAAUUUAUUUAAAUCAUACACUACAAAUUCUAAGUAUUACCUGAACAAAUAAUUUCUUUUAAAAAAAAAAAAGAAUCAUAACCAUUAAACUGGACUCAUUCUUCCUAGAGCCGGAAAAAAAAAUGAAUACAUAUAUACAGAAUUAGAUUUGAAGAAGACGAGAGAGCAACCUCCUUUUCCCCUCUUAACCACGAGAAUAAUUGAUUAAGGAAAGGAAUAAUGAAGAGAACUUCGGAAUCAAAUAUAAUUAGAAUCAAAUAUUUUUAUAAACUCAAUUCUAUAUUGGAAACCAAUAUUAUUCCUUGAUUUAAAUCCAUGCAUGCCUCCUUUUGUUCUUCAAAGUAAAUAACACAGAAACCUCAAACCUGGUAUUCUCUCAACAUGUACAUCACUAUGCUGUCAUCCUAUACAUAUGUCAUAAAGGUUAAUUCCAAUAAUUAAAAGGUUGUGAAAUUGGUGCAAAACCCUACCUCUAAUGUUUUUUUAUUUCCUUGAAGGGGAAAAAAAGGUGAAAUUUUCAUCUUUUGCCUGGUUUCCAAAUGCAGACCUUGAUGAAAGGAGCUUGCAAGAACCCCAUGUCGUUGAAUGCGAUUUUCUCUCUUAUAAUGCAUUAAUUCUUCUUCUACACAUGUCAUGGCCAUGGAAAAAUUAAUUUGGAAAUUAAUUCCUCCUUGGAGAAUGGACGCAAAAUCCAAUUUUUUUUUUUUGGAUAAAUACUUCCCUUUCCAACCAUGCAAAUAGCAAAGUACAUGGUCUUUUAGGUUCGGCGUGAUAGUUACUUGGUCAAACCGAGGAAUAUUCUUAUGAGAAAGACAAAGUAGAAAAGCAAUGCUCCUUCUCAGCUUCUCAGAAAUUAAACAUGCACUGAAAGGGUAACCAUGACAGCUGACCAAUCCGCCUGCAAGGAAACCACUCCAAUCUUCCCCAUGAGAGAAUUUCUUCUUCAAAGUUCAAAGUAUUCAUUCUGCAGUGAAUUCAUGAUCAGAGCAGAGUUUUUCUUGGUGAACGUACAAGUCAGCUGUGCCUUUUUUUCUCUGGGGGAAAUUGAUGAAUCUUAGCCCAAUGAAGUUUCCUUGAUAUUUGAUACCCUCAAGGCCAGACGAACACUGCAAGCACACUAAAGUACAAGAACAAAUUGCAAUAAGAAAAACAAAGUAGAUUCUAUUAUCAUUUUCAUUGACUAUGGAUUUAGCUAUGGAAGUUUCAAUGGAUGACUAACUUGCGUGGAUCGAUGGUUAUUGAAUAUGAUCAAGAGGCGUGAGCAAGAUAUACAGCUAAUUAGACUUGUUCUUCAUGGAAUUUGCAAGAUCUCAUAAAUUUUGUUUAAUUUAAUAGCAAAGGAAAAUCUGCAGGAGGAUCAGAAGUGGGACUGCAAGACAUGACGCUUAUAUUUAGACAAAUAUGCCCAUCAAAUCCAAUACAUACAUGCGUAAUUAAGCAGAGUACUCUUGUAUAGAUUUGAUGACAACUGCGUAAUAUUGGUCAACCAAGUACUAUUCAGAUUGAUAUUAACUUCCCUGUUGUGAUAUCUACGAUUCUACAGUUCUAAAUUUUCCAAAAGAAUAAAAUAUAAGAUCAGAAAAUACAAGGAAAUUUACUCCCUUAUAGAAGUCCUAACAUUUUUUUCUAAUUUAAGCUGACAUGAACCUGUCUUUUGUAUAUCCUCCACUUCUCAUUCAUUUGGCUUUAAACUUGCCAGAAAGUUGCACAAAAUUAACUACAAUUAUAACUUCUCAUUCUUUGGAGAGUUACUUUUGGCGAGAUGCGCUUUCCCUUGGUUGCCCCAUCCGUAAUUCUACCAGUCCUCUGGGCUCUUGCUCUAGUACAGAGCCUUGAUUUUCAAUUUCCAAACUUCAAGGAUUCUGAUAUAAAUCGACUUAUUCGGAGUCCCAAUUCUAAAAUAGCCUGGGACGCCAUCCAAGUCACACCAGAUUCUAAUGGAAUUUCUAUGAGUAACAGGGCUGGAAGGGUCUUGUACAAUGAGCCAUUCAGACUAGGGAGCAAAAACGGAGGGAAGAAUGCAUCUUUCAAUACGGCCUUCGUACUCAAUAUCAAAAGCCAGACAGCUUCAAGUGGUGAAGGCUUAGCUUUUAUAUUAACAGCAGAUCCUGAUGUUCCAGAUCGAAGUGAAGGACAAUGGAUUGGAAUCGUAAAUUCCACGUUAAAUGGAUCCAAGGAAGCCAGGACAGUGGCAGUAGAAUUUGACACCAGCCAAAGUUACCCAGUUGAUCUUGAUGAUAACCAUAUUGGAUUGGUUGUGAACAGCAUCUACUCAAGAAGAUCGGUUUCGUUAAAUGACAGGGGCAUUUAUAUUUCUAAGGGCGAAGAUAUCGCGGUAGAUGUUCGAUACGACGGCAAGAAUUUGACCGUUUUUGUGGGUGGGGACAUGAAGAAUCCAGUUAUUUCUGAGCAUCUCAAUCUCUCAGACUAUCUUCCAGAAAACGUUUAUGUAGGGUUUUCUGGUUCAACAAGUAACAACACUCAACUAAAUUGUGUGAAGUCAUGGAAGUUCAGCGGUUCGGAGAUAAAAGACUCCAAGUUGCGGUGGGUUUGGAUUUUAGUUGCAGUAGGAUCAGUACUAAUCCUCUUGAUUAGUAUUGGUAUCGCCCUUUUCUUGUACAGGAAAAGAGGAUGUGAAGUGGACAGGCGGGAGGAUGCUUACCCAAAUAUUGAUGAGGCAAUCCUAGGCUCCUCAACUGCUCCGAGGAAGUACAAAUUCAAAGAACUUAGCAAAGCAACUGGUAAUUUCAACCCCAAGAACAAGCUCGGGAAAGGUGGCUUCGGGACAGUCUACAAGGGAAUCUUGGGAAACAAGGAAGUCGCUGUCAAAAGAAUCUCAAAGAAAUCAACCCAAGGUAAGCAAGAAUUCAUAGCAGAAGUCACUACAAUAGGCAACCUCCAUCACCGAAAUCUUGUUAAGUUGAUCGGAUGGUGCCAUGAAAGCGUGAGUACCUCUUGGUUUACGAAUACUUGCCAAAUGGAAGCCUGGAUAAAUACGUAUUUUGUGAUGAAAAGCCAGGCACGCAGGAAGCAACACUGAGCUGGGAAAAAAGGCUGAGUGUGAUUUCCGGAGCGGCACAGGCAUUGGAUUAUCUGCAUAAUGGCUGCAUGAAGAGGGUACUUCACCGAGACAUAAAGGCCAGUAACAUAAUGUUGGAUUUAGAUUUCAAUGCGAAACUGGGAGAUUUUGGCUUAGCUCGCAGCAUUAUUCGAAAUGAACAAACUCACCACACAACGAAAGAGCUUGCUGGAACACCUGGCUACAUGGCUCCGGAGAGUAUUCUUACGGGAAGGGCAACGACCGAAACAGAUGUUUAUGCUUUUGGCGUUCUUGUUCUGGAAGUUGCUUGUGGAAGGAAGCCUGGAGGGCAGACUGAGCGGGAUGACUACAUUAGUAACAUUGUGCAUGGGCUAUGGGAACUUUACAGAAGGGGAACGAUCCUCGAAGGUGCAGACCCCAGAUUGGAUGGAAUAUUCAAAAUUGAAGAAAUGGAGUGUGUGCUUAUUCUGGGGCUGGCCUGCUGCCAUCCAAAUCCAAACGAUAGGCCCUCCAUGAAAACUGUUUUGCAGGUCCUUACAGGGGAAGCGCCACCACCAGACGUGCCAGCUGAAAGGCCUGUUUUUAUGUGGCCGCCCAAUCCUCCAUCCUUCAAAGAAUGGGGCAACUCUAUCAUUGGAGGCGAUCUCUCUCCAUUUUCUGAACUCUCAGGGAGAUGAAUCAAAUGCCAAAGGAUCGACUGAUGAUCGACAUAUUCUCCGUCAAAUUUAUAUAUCUAGCCAUAACGUUGCUGUGUUCCAGGCAAUGAUUGUUAAGAAAUAGCAACACUUCAAUAAAUUUAUUUUUUUCUUCGUCAAAUUAUGUACAUAGCGCUGGAAAACUAGCUGCAGGUUCACCAUAAUUCCUAGAAGGAAGAUGUUUUCUGAAAUGUCGAAUCCCUUUGGCGAGCCAACGAUGGUAUAUCUUAGUGAUCAAUUUAAUGUUUUUUUUAAUAUGUUAUUAAAGUUUUAAUGACCAAGCAAUAUAUAUUGGACAAGGAAUUUUAUUUCAAUAGAAUUUUUUUCAUAACAAAAUUUUAAGAAAACUAAAGUUGUCAUACCCAGCUGGCCUUUUGCACACCUUAUUUUGACAACAAAAGCUGCAGGUAAAAAACCAAAGUAAUUUGCCGAUAAGCAAAACAUUUCAAUGCUUUAAAACUAAUUUGGGAGGGGUCCUUGACUGAUUACUCCCCUCAGCCCCAUUUAACUAUCAAAGGAUAUCGAGGUGGCAAGGCUAUUAAUAUCAUGGACUCAUAGUAACGAAAAGAAUGAAGACCAAAGAGUCAAGAUCAUCAGAGACACGACAUGAAGUAAUUCUGCAGUAAUUCACCGUUCUAUAUGGGGAAUAAAGAUUCAAAAUCACCCUCUACGGGGUAAUAAAAUUCUUUAUCGUGGCAAACAAUAAUAAGAACUAGAAGAUGGAGUUCAAUCUAAGGCUGUUCCGGAGAACAUAGCAAGAAAAGAAGACCAGUAACACAGAAAAUGAACCUCAGGUUAACUGGAAUAUACAUCAGGUUAACUUGGAUACAUAACAAGAAAGCAACUGGAAAGCAAGUAAGCAUGUGCAAAGGAAACUAAAUACAUUGAAGAGAGAGAGCAGAACCUGUCAAUGAAAUCUGCAAGAACUUGCAGGAAAACUCAAUUUAGGCAAACCUGUCUAUAUUGGAAACCAAUAUUAUUCCUUGAUUUAAAUUCAUGCCUCCUUUUAUUCUUCGAAGUAAAUAACACUGAAACCUUAAACCCGGUAUUCUCUCAACAAGUACAUCACUAUGUUGUCAUCCUAUACAUAUGUCAUAAAGGUUAAUUCGAAUAAUUAAAAGGUUGUGAAAUUGAUGCGAACCCUACCUCUAAAGUUUUUUUAUUUCCUUGAAGGGGAAAAAAAAGGUGAAAAUUUCAUCUUUUGCCUGGUUUCCAAAUUGCAGACCUUGAUGAAAGGAGCUUGACAAAACCCCAUGUAGUUGAAUGCGAUUUUCUCCCUUCCACAUAUGCCAUAGCCAUGGAAAAAAUAGUUCGGAAAAGUUGUUUUUUUCAGAUUUGACUGUACCUCCUUGGAGAAUGGACGCAAAAUCCAAUUUUUUCUUGUAUAAAUGCUUCCAUUUUUCAACCAUGCAAAUAGCGAAGUACAUGGUCUUUUAGGUUCGGCGUGGUAGUUACCUGGUCAGGCCGAGGAAUAUAUGGGCUUGUGAAACCAGCCACCUAAGUCAACAAUGGUGGGAGUCAACAAUGGUGGUGAAGCUAUCCUUCCUUAAUCAUAAAUUGUAGGCACCAAACUUGUGCCACUUGCCUUGCCCCUUGUAUUUGCAUGGAUGUUUGCUUAUAAAUAGGCAAUGCAUCCAAGCAUUGUAACCACACCACAAGAGAGAAACAAGAGAGGAAGAGGAGAGUGAAGAGGGAAAAUAAUCCCACAAAGUUGUGAGGUAUUUGUGAGAGAGUAAGUGAGGUGUUUUCUCCUAGUAAUAGAGAGAUUCUUAGUUGUUCUCCUAUUAUUUGAGAGAGGUUGUAAUUCUCAUAUUACUUAGUAAAAUCCUUUUAUACUUGCCCGUGGACGUAGCCUAAUUGGGUGAACCACGUAAAUUCUUGUGUGUCUCAUUUCUCAUUUUAGCCUUUUGUCUUGUCGGGUUUGCAUGCCAGUAUCCUAACAGUGGUAUCAGAGCCUUCCUGGUUGGUGUUGUUAACACACAAAAGUUAUUCGUGUAUACGGUUACUAUUCACGUCUACGGUACUAUUCACUUAUACGGUACUGUUCACUUACGCUACUGUUGGCGUAUAUAGAAAGUCAGUGCGGUGAUUAAAUACAGUCUAGGAAGUUCUGUCUAAGGAGAUUGAGUUUUAAGCGGGACCGUUUGUGACCCCUCCAAUCUUUCCUGGGAACUUACUUAGUGAAGUAUUAUUCACACGAUACUAUUUCUAUAUACGUUACAGAUCUGUGAAACGGUGAUAGCUGAAUAGAUCUCAGUGAAUACAAUGGCAACAAAGUACGAGAUUGAGAGGUUCAAGGGGAGUAAUUUCUCACUGUGGAAAAUGAGAAUCAAGGCAAUCUUGAGGAAAGAUAAUUGCUUGGCAGCAAUUGGGGAUCGGCCCGCGGAGAUCACUGAUAAUGCAAAAUGGAAUGAGAUGGAUGGCAAUGCUAUUGCUAACAUACAUUUAGCAUUAGCUGAUGAAGUAUUAUCAAGUGUGGCGGAGAAGAAAACAGCUAAGGAGAUAUGAGAGACUCUAACAAAGCUAUACGAGUCCAAGUCUUUGCAUAAGAUUUUCUUAAAGCGGAGACUUUAUACCCUUCGAAUGGCAGAAACCACGUCGGUGACUGACCACAUCAACACAAUAAGAACUCUAUUUUCACAACUCACUACGUUGGGUCAACAAAUAGAGGAAAAUGAACGUGCAGAGCUUCUACUUCAAAGUCUUCCUGAUUCGUAUGAUCAGCUCAUUAUCAACUUGACCAAUAAUAUCCUCUCAGACUAUUUAGUCUUCGAUGAUGUUGCAGCCGCUAUCUUGGAAGAAGAAAAUAGGCGCAAAAACAAAGGAGACAGAAACAGUUCAAACCAAGCAGAGGCGUUAUUGGUGUCAAGAGGAAGAUCAACGGAGCGUGGCUCCAGUGGGAGUCAAAGGCAGGGGAGGUCUAAAUCAAGAAGUAAGAAGGUUGAAAUGCUACAACUGUGGCAGAAAAGGGCACUUCAAAAAGGAUUGUUGGUUUAAAAAGGGUAUAGAGAAUACUGCAGAGUCAUCAAACCUCAAGGAUGUGUUGCAAGCACCUCAGAAGAUGGAGAGGUUUUAUAUAGUGAAGCAGCAACAAUCUCUACAGAUAGAGAAGAGCUCACUGAGGUCUGGCUAAUGGAUUCAGGAGCAACAUGGCAUAUGACCCCUAGACGAGAUUGGUUCCAUACAUAUGAACCUAUCUCUGGAGGCACAGUGUUCAUGGGUGAUAAUCAUGCUGUAGAGAUUUCUGGCAUUGGCACCAUCAAAUUGAAGAUGUAUGAUGGCUUAAUUCGUACUAUUUCAGGAGUGCGACAUGUGAAAGACUUAAAGAAGAAUCUUUUGUCCGUAGGACAAUUUGAUAGUCUUGGCUGUAAGAUCCGAACAGACAAUGGAAUCAUGAAAAUUGUCAAAGGCGCGCUGGUGGUUUUAAAGGCAAGAAAGACAGUUGCAAACAUGUUUGUAUUAAUGGGAGAAACCAUCAGGGCAGAAGCAUCAAUCGCAUCAGCCAGUCCUGCAGAAGAGAAGACGAUGAUGUGGCAUCAAAAACUAGGCCACAUGUCAGAGAAAGGUUUAAAGGUUCUCUCUGAUCAGAAGUUACUCCCUGGGCUUACAAAGGUUACUUUACCUUUUUGUGAGCACUGUGUUACAAGUAAACAACACAGGUUGAAGUUUGGCACGUCAACAACUAAGAGCAAAUGCAUCUUAGACCUGAUUCACUCUGAUGUUUGGCAAGCACCGGUUGUAUCCUUGGGAGGAGCAAGAUACUUUGUAUCAUUCAUAGAUGACUUCUCCAGGAGAUGUUGGGUGUAUCCGAUUAGAAGGAAGGCAGAUGUGUUCGCAGUUUUUAAAACCUUCAAAGCGCGGGUAGAACUUGAAUCUGAAAAGAAGAUCAAGUGUUUGAGGACUGACAAUGGAGGAGAAUAUACCAGUGAUGAAUUUGAUAACUUCUGUCAACAUGAAGGUAUCAAAAGGCAGUUCACAACGGCAUACACUCCACAACAAAAUGGAGUGGCAGAGCGGAUGAACAGAACUCUAUUGGAAAGAACAAGAGCAAUGUUGAAGGCUGCAGGUCUAGAAAAGUCAUUCUGGGCAGAAGCAGUCAAUACCGCCUGUUAUGUGAUAAAUCGAUCUCCGUCAACUGCAAUUGAGUUGAAGACACCGAUGGAGAUGUGGACUGGAAAGCCAGCUGAUUAUUCUCGAUUGCAUAUAUUUGGAAGUCCUGUGUACGUGAUGUACAAUACUCAAGAGUCAGCAAGCUGGAUUCAAAAUCCAGAAAAUGUGUAUUCUUGGGAUAUGCUGAUGGAGUGAAGGGGUAUCGCUUGUGGGAUCCCACUGCCCACAAGGUAGUCAUCAGCAGAGAUGUCAUAUUUGCAGAAGAUAAAAUGCAAAUGGAAGAAAAUAAUAGCAUUUUAAAGGAGACUACAGAAGUCCAGAUGGAAAAUACUCAGAAUCAUACUUCUUCUGAAGCUGCACCAGAGCAUGAAGAACAAGAACAAAUAGAGUCUGAAACUCCUGAAGUUCGACGGUCAACUCGUGAAAGAAGACCACCGGCUUGGCACUCAGAAUAUGUUACUGAGAGCAACAUUGCAUACUGUCUUCUAACAGAGGAUGGAGAGCCAUCAACUUUCCAUGAGGCUAUCAAAAGCACAGAUGUAUCUAUGUGGAUGACAGCAAUGCAAGAGGAGAUUGAAGCUCUGCACAAGAAUAACACUUGGGAUCUUGUUCCGCUACCACAAGGAAGAAAGGCCAUUGGCAACAAAUGGGUUUACAAGAUAAAGCGUGAUGGCAAUGAUCAAGUGGAGCGGUAUCGUGCAAGAUUGGUGGUGAAAGGAUAUGCUCAGAAAGAAGGAAUAGACUUUAAUGAGAUAUUUUCUCCGGUGGUACGACUUACUACAAUCAGAGUAGUCUUGGCAAUGUGUGCUAUAUUUGAUCUUCACUUAGAGCAGUUAGAUGUGAAAACUGCAUUUCUUCAUGGAGAACUUGAAGAAGAAAUUUAUAUGCUCCAACCAGAGGGUUUUGCUGAAACAGGCAAGGAGAACUUGGUUUGCAGGUUGAACAAAUCUCUAUACGGUCUCAAACAGGCGCCGAGGUGUUGGUACAAGAGAUUUGAUUCCUUCAUAAUUAGCCUUGGGUACAACAGACUCAGUUCAGACCAUUGUACGUAUUACAAGAGGUUUGAAGAAAAUGAUGUUUUCAUCAUUCUGUUGUUGUACGUGGAUGACAUGUUGGUAAUAGGCCCCAACAAAGAUCGAGUCCAAGAAUUGAAGGCACAGUUGGCUAGGGAGUUUGAUAUGAAGGACUUGGGACCAGCAAACAAGAUUCUAGGGAUGCAAAUUCACCGAGACAGAAGUAAGAGGAAGAUUUGGCUUUCUCAGAAGAAUUAUUUAAAGAAGAUCUUGCGACGCUUCAACAUGCAAGAUUGUAAGCCAAUUUCCACCCCACUUCCUGUUAACUUCAAAUUAUCCUCAAGUAUGUCUCCUAGCAAUGAAGCAGAGAGGAUGGAGAUGUCUCGAGUACCGUAUGCAUCAGCAGUGGGAAGUUUAAUGUUUGCCAUGAUAUGUACAAGACCAGACAUUGCACAAGCAGUGGGAGCAGCUAGUCGAUACAUGGCAAAUCCUGGUAGAGAGCAUUGGAAUACUAUUAAGAGGAUCUUGAGAUACAUCAAGGGUACCUCAGAUGCCGCAUUAUGUUAUGGAGGAUCAGAAUUUACUAUCAGAGGUUAUGUUGACUCAGAUUUUGCUGGUGACCUUGAGAAAAGAAAAUCCACUACAGGCUAUGUGUUCAUAAUUGCAGGAGGAGCUGUGAGCUGGGUCUCUAAACUUCAGACUGUUGUAGCGUUAUCCACAACAGAAGCUGAGUAUAUGGCAGCUACACAGCUUGUAAAGAAGCAAUAUGGCUGAAGAAACUUAUGGAGGAGCUCGGGCACAAACAAGAGAAGAUUCUUUUGUAUUGUGAUAGUCAGAGUGCCUUGCAUAUUGCAAGGAAUCCAGCGUUUCAUUCAAGAACAAAACAUAUAGAUGUUCAGUAUCACUUUGUUCGCGAAGUGGUGGAAGAUGGAAGUGUGGAUUUUCAGAAGGUUCACACAAAGGAAAACCCAGCAGAUGCUUUAACCAAAUCAGUCAACACUGAUAAGUAUAUAUGGUGCAGAUCCUCUUGUGGCCUAGCAGAAACGUAAGCAGCAUGAAGAUGGCAAGUAUUGAAAGGAUAGAAGAAUCAUAAAUGAUGAAGUGUGAAGACUUGAUUCAAUCAUCAAAGUCUUCAAGUGGGAGAAUGUGAAACCAGCCACCUAAGUCAACAAUGGUGGGAGUCAACAAUGGUGGUGAAGCCAUCCUUCCUUAGUCAUAAAUUGUAGGCACCAAACUUGUGCCACUUGCCUUGCCCCUUGUAUUUGCAUGGAUGUUUGCCUAUAAAUAGGCAAUGCAUCCAAGCAUUGUAACCACACCACAAGAGAGAAACAAGAGAGGAAGAGGAGAGUGAAGAGGGAAAAUAAUCCCACAAAGUUGUGAGGUAUUUGUGAGAGAGUAAGUGAGGUGUUUUCUCCUAGUAAUAGAGAGAUUCUUAGUUGUUCUCCUAUUAUUUGAGAGAGGUUGUAAUUCCCAUAUUACUUAGUAAAAUCCUUCUAUACUUGCCCGUGGACGUAGCCUAAUUGGGUGAACCACGUAAAUUCUUGUGUGUCUCAUUUCUCAUUUUAGCCUUUUGUCUUGUCGGGUUUGCAUGCCAGUAUCCUAACAGGGCUCAUUAUAAUGAGAAAGACCGAAGUAUUCAAAGAUGAUAGAUUGGACAUGAUAAGUAGCAAACAAGACUCCAUUUAGUCAUGGUUCUGGAUUGAUUAAGCAAUUUAAAUAAAUUAACACAAAUAUAGAAUAGAAUUCUUGAUAAUAAGCAUUCCGUUUCAAUUCUUAGCCACGUCUAAAUCUUCACAUUUGUAGAAUUUUUCCUCUGCCUCCCCCAUGGUAUUCAGCAUGUUGGGAUGUUGCACAGCGUUAAUUCCUGACCAAAUCCAACUAUCUCAAUAUUAAACUUGAGUAUUUAAAGUUAUGGUUUGAAAGUAGUGGCCUCUAAAUCCAGAAAUGGCGGGCAUCGUGGAGGCAAGAGAUCGUGACUUCAGGAAUGGCAUCGUGGGCAUAGUGGUUGUGAUCUGCUGAAUCUUCCCCUGGCUAUGAUCUGCUGAAUUUCCCUGUUAAACCGGCUUCCUCUGAGUGAAACGAAGGAGACAAUGAACAUUGCUUCCAAAACAGCGUCGUUGUGUCCUUGGGCAUCUGUUUUUCACUUUGGUCCCUAAACAGUUUAAACUUAACAAUUAGGAUCCGAAUUAGUAAUAAUUGAUUUCUAAUUGUGCCCUUGGGUUAAUUUCAAUCAAAUCCCUAAAUUUAUUUAAUUAAUUAAAUCAAAAUUUAAUUAAGUCCGCAAACUUAUUAAUUCUUCAAUUUUUGACCAAUUGACUCUGAAAUUUUAUAAUUUCAUACAUGAACUUUAAAUUUUGUGUUGUCUUAACUCCAUUGUCAACUAUAUUCAAUUUUUAUUAUUUGUUCAAAAAUUGAGUUAUGAUAAAAUGAUAAAAUUAGGGAAUAGGACAAUUAAGAAAACGAAAAGAAAAACCGAGUCAGCCAGAUCAACUUGUCAAUCACACGAUCCAGAUCAUGAGAUUAGAACAAUUCAAUAAAAAGAAAAUCCAAUAUUAAAGAACUUGUGACCUGAAUAAUAAGACUGAGAUAACCUCAAUGAAAAAAAUAAAAACAAUAACUCUAUUUUAAACCUGGUUAACCUGUCAAAUCCACAAAUUUGAUCAUAAGAUAAGAAUAAUACUAAAAAAACAAAAAAAAUUAUAAAUUUUAUUUUCUAACCGAUCCAAUAUUGAAUGAGAAAAUUUAAAAUUUUAAAAAAACUAUAGAAAAUCUUUGUUUUACUUUCUUAAUACAUUCUACUUUACGAAACAAGAAGAAAGGAAAAAGAGAAAAGGAUAAACAAAAAAUUACUUGGUAGAGAUAACCAAGAAAUAGGUUUAUCAAGGGAAGGACAUAAUUUUUGUUCUAGAUAAACUUUGUGAAGCCACUGUUUUGAAUUUCUCGUGAUAACGAUGAUUUAAAAAAAAAACAUAUUUAAAAAUAUAUUAAAAUAUUAUUUUUUGUUUUAAAAAACUUAUUUUUAAUAUUCGUUUAUCAAGAUAAUUUAAAAAUAUAAAAAAAUUAAUUUAAAAUAAAAAAUAUAUAUUAUUUUAAAACACAAAAAAAUAAUAAGUAAUGUUUUUGAAUUAAAAAUACAUAUAUUUGAUAGGUCUUUCCAACUAAUUUGUUGAACAGUGGUCAUUUCAAUCAGAAGUUUGGCCUACUCCACGAACACAAAACAAAGUUAUACAUAAUGCAUGUAUGAUACAUAAACAAAGAGAAAUAAAUUAAAUACAUUAUUAUGUAAUACUAUUUAACUUGAUUUUCUGCUGCAAAGAUAUUAACUUAUCAUAAACCCUUCUUUUUGGUACUAAGUUCUGUAUAUAUCAAAUUUCUUGAUUUGUAGAUAACAAAAACAUAAUUAAUUCCGACUUCAUUAAUAAUUAUAUAUCUAAGACAUUUUAUAAAUAACUAAAAAUUUAUACAAAAAAAACUAAAAGUCAUACGUGAAUCACUAUGGCUUGUGAGAGGAUUUGUUGUGUAUUCGCAAAGUGUUUCCUUUUUUUUUUCUCAUUAAUUUUUUUGGUUAGUUUAUUUUUCAUUUCAAUAUUUACACAUUUAAUUAAUUUAGAAUUGAAUUUCAUGGUAUAUUUUAUUUUCUUCUUUUCGAGUCUUCAAUAAUGUUUUAAAACAUCAUGGCAUUAACUUUGUUUUUAAUCUUACAAAGAAGAAUUGAUCAGAAGCUUAAACCCCCUCUUGGAUCAAGUGGAGGAAUGCUCAAGUAAAGAUGAAAUAAAGAGAAAAACCAUGUCCUUAAUUUGUUCUUCCAUAACUACAUGAUUAUCUUACAAUUGUUUUUUUCUGACAGGUAGUGUAGGGAUAAAUCUCCGUUUAUAAUGGUGAUAAAUAAGAGUGAGUAAUAAAACAUCCAAUACUUUCAGACAUAAGCAUGAUCAAGCAAACAGAUGACUAAUCAAGAACAUAGCUAAUAAUUCUCCAGGAAAGAACAUCUCAGACCACUUUCAUAAGCACAGAGGUUCUGCAAUGCUUCAAUCUUCAGUGCAAAUUACAACAAUAUCUCAACAUUGCCCUUGGCAAAUUCCUUUUCCCCGUGCAGCAUGGCGUCUUUCACAGCCGCCUUCGUGUACAGUGCUCUCUUGAGAGCCCAGUUGAAGUUUUGAUUUUGAUAUCACGUCGCAGCAGUUGAAUCCUCACGGUCUGCCCAUAUGGAGAGAGCACCAUUUAAUUAGGCCUUGACCCUUACAACCUAGCUAUAAUUAAUACCUCGUGGGUGGUUCUGGUUUCCUUUUUACUUCCACAAAAAAAAAAAAAAAAAAAAGUUGACGGAAAUGGAUAGAGGAUUCAAUCGAGAAAUUAAAUAUCUAAAAAUAUGAUGACUUAAUUUUAUUUAAGCUUGUAAGAAAAAUAAUUAAUUGUAAAUACACCAGUUAAGAUGUAGACCACCUGCUCAAAAUCAAACAAGAAAAAAAGUUGAUAAAUAUCAUAAUUUAUUUUAAUAAAUAUCAUAUUUGAUUUGUAUAAUUUUGAAAAGUUGAUAUGCUUUCCUUUAAUCAUCUUGCAAUUGACAUAGAAUACAAGUUUGUUAUGUAAUUUUUUAAAGUAUUUUUCACUUUGAAAUGUAUUGAAAUAUAUUUUUUUUAAUUAUUUUAAAUAUCAAAAUGAUAAAAAAUAAAUACAUAAAAAAUAAAUAAAAAAAUUCAAUUUCUUUUUACAUUAAAUUGUUUUUUUAUCUGACCUGUAAAAUAUCAUAGUUCAUUAACAUAUAGUUUUGUUAAGCAAAAAUUAUAAUGUUUUUUUAUAAUAGGGUUUGAUGAGUAAUAUUCCAGCAUCUUAAAAAAAGUAAGUGUAUUUUUAGAAAGUUAGUUCUCGAUUUCUUAUUUUCUUGAAAUAAAUUAGAUAAAAAUAAUUAAAAUAAAAUAUAAGGCAAAGAAAAAGUUGUAUUUAAUAAUAAUAUAUAAGUUAGAGUAAUUGUCUUUAUACAAAUAAUAUAUGAAACCAUAAAACUUAUAAGAAACAAUAAAUAAUUAAGUUAUUAUAUGAAUAUGAAUUGAUUUUAAAUAAUUAAGUUAUUUGAAACAAUAAACAAUUAAAGGACAUGAGAGGAUGAUCAUUAAAAUAGAAAGGAAACUCAUGAUCUUCCUCUACCUCUCUCUUUUCAUUAUAAAACCUAGAAAUCCAAAGGCAAUACUUUAUGUAAGGGAUGAUAAAAGAUGCUCAUGAGUCGGCUUUUCAAAAUGAAAUGGUAAUUUCUUCUACGUCAUGUGUAAUUUGCUUUAGAUAUAUUGAUUUCCGAUUUUGGUAAUUAAAGUAUACUUUAAUUAUCGUAUAAUUUCAAUGUUUAGAGGUGCUCUGAUGCACAAUAAUUAGAGUUUGGUUAAUUUUAUAUUUCAAAAAUAUUUUUGAAAAAAAUAAAGAUUUUUUAUUUUUUAUUGUAAAUUAUUAUUUUAUAUUGUUUUAAUGUGCUGAUAUUAGAAAUAAUUUUUUAAAAUUAAAAAAUAUAUUAUUUUAAUAUAUUUUCAAACUAAAAAUAUUUUAAAAAUUAAUCAAAGUACAUUAUAAAUAUCCCCUAUAUCCAUAGAUAAAUAAUAAAUUAUGCAUUUGUUUCACAUUUACUAAGCGUAGUUAACAUACUUAGAUUUAUUAAUUUAAACAGUAUGUUAUGAUAAAAAAAUAUCAUUGUAAGAUUUAACUAAGAUUUUUUAAAAUAUAUAUACAAGUACUUAUUGAUUUAUGAUUUUAGUAAUUAAAGGAUUUUACCAAUAGACUUUUUAAAGUUUAGGUACCUCUAAUGUAGAGUGCUGACACCCAUGGGCAAAUGAGGAAUAUAGGAAGUUGAGGAAACCCAACUAAAGUCAACGAGUCUUCUUCUCCAACAAGAAAAGACAGGGGAAAGUGUCUUCUUACUCACAUACUUGAACAAUGCCAUCCUCACAAAUAGACGAGCCUGUAGCUUUCCUCGUGAUCUUCUACCCGCCUCUUCGUUACAGGUAACACCCUUUCUUCCUUUUCGGGCUUCUUUGAAUUUUGGGCCCUUUGAGUUAUUUUUCGUUUCGGCUCUCUGUCCCAUAAUCUUUGAUAAAGGGGAAGAGGGAAGAAAAAUGCUUCCCCAGCAAUUGAUUGGUAUCCGAUCUUAUUGGGAAAUCACUGUGUUCUGGAUCUCAUUGGCUGAUCUGUAAUGUAGCAGUAAGGUGAGGUAUUGAAUACUAGCAGCACUCAACUUUUACUUGCCUUUCCAUUUCGAUAACAUAUAUAUUCGGCAGCUUCAAUCUGGCCUACCUAAGUCUUACCUCGGCUCAACACCCCUCAUUUCCUGCUCUGUCCUCUGAGAGAGCCAGAGACAUGGAGGUUGAACAUUUUAGCCACCCAGAUCAUCCAUUGAUCCUCAUUAAUCAAGUUCUUGAUUAUAGUUGCGAACUAGUUAUUUGCUCUGGAUGUGAGGGACCAAUAUGGGGUCCUUGCUACAGUUGCACCUCUUGCUACUUCUUUCUUCAUAAGAAAUGCGCCGAGCUGCCCAAUGAGAUCAAGCGGCGCAUUCAUCCUAGACACCCUCUCCAUCUACUGGCAAAGUCACCAUAUGAAGGAAAAUACCUUUGUGAUCGGUGCGCCAAAACUUUCAACUGUUUUGUUUACCAUUGUUCUAUCUGUAAGUUUGAUCUUGAUAUCAAAUGUGCUUUUCCACCGGGUUUUUUUGAGGUUGAUAGUCAAUUUGCCCACAAGGAUCAUCCAUUGAUUUUGAAUGAAGAGCAAGAGUAUCUUGGUGAAGGAGUUAUGUGCUCUUUGUGCAAGGAACCAAUGUCGGGUCCUAGCUAUAGUUGCACUUCUUGCAACUUCUUUCUUCACAAGAAGUGUGCUGAGCUACCCCCGGAGAUCAAGAGGCACAUUCAUCCAGAACACCCUCUUCGUCUACUGCCAAAUCAUGAUACGAUGUGUGAUUUUUGCAACGAAACUUGCUAUGAGAGUUUUGCUUACUGCUGUUUUGUGUGCGAAUUCAACCUCCAUAUCAAAUGUGCUUUUCCACCGUGCGUUUAUGCAGCUGAUCAGGAUCAGGGGCAUCAAUUUAGACGCCUACUGAAU
rnacentral:lncRNA from 1 species